GCAGGUACAAGCUUGGAGUAGACACCGACAGGCCGGGCUUCCUCCACUCUAUCUCUCUCAAUCUAGUAGAAACUAGAAGAUCUAUUUCUACCUUACAUUGAUUGCUAAGCCUAAAAAGAAAUAUUAAUUAGAGAAGAGGUUUUCCUUCGAGGGCACCCCUCAGUCUCUAUGAUAAUUUCUUCAUGUCUUCUCUAGGGGCCAGGGGCCUUGCUUAUAUAGUCCUCCCCUUCUAUGCGUUUUUGGGUCGAUAGGCGAGGUGGUACUAUGUUUUUCUUGAUCCAAUAGGUCGGUGGAAUAUCCCAAGCGAAAGAGUCCUAAUUUGGCUCCAACAGGGGGGCGGGCGCCCUGGGCCUGGCCCAGUUUCGCCUCCGCUUCGGUCUCGUGGCUUCUGGAGUCUUCUAGAUGAUGUAAAAUUACGCGGUGCAUUGAUAUCUCUAUGUAAUCCCGACAUGUGGGCCUUUCUUCCUUAUUUCCUGAUAACCCCCUGCAGAAACAGAUAAACAACAAAACUCGUGGAAUUCUGUCAGAUCAAACCCUAAUUCUAGGUGAUGGUUGCAUAUUGGUCCUUUCUCUUGUUUAUUUGAUAAUUAAAAUUGGUAUUUAAGAACCGUCAACAAAUACCCCCAUACUUAGGCUUUUACUCGUCCUCGAGAAAAGGAUGGUUAAGAUCAAUAUCUGGGGUAAACAUUUAAAUCAUUCUUUUUAUAAUUGCAGGGUGUCAAAAACCCACUGUGUACCAUAGUCAGGAAAGUUUAUGAUUAAGAGUAAAGAUCCUUUCUUCUCAAUCCUGUCACUUGGAGUUUUUUGUAUAUUUUUGAAAGAAAGUUAGCAUACCUUUUGAUCCUCAUAGGUUCUCUCAGAUCACUCAUUAGCUUUUAUAUAUAUCUCACUGAGGUUGUUUUAAUUUGCAAAAAUUCUCAAGCAUUCUUACUUUGCAUUUAUUGCCUGAUCAAAACGGGAUCCGAGGAGGGGAAUGUCAUACUCUUAGAUCAAAGACUUUGGAAAUUAAAAACUUUGUCAUCUCUUGCUGGCAUAUUGCUUAUUAGAGGGACCAUGGGCUAUCAUUUUUUUCUCUUUUCUCUUUUUUUAAAGUGGAUACCGAGGUACCCCUAAUUCUACUGCCGGACACUUGUCCAUUUUUUCUGCGAGGUUGUCGAGCACUUGCUCCUUUUUAUUUCCUCGAAAUAUCUCUAUUUUUUCAUAGCCCAUGCCUCUAAUGCAAUAAUACUUCGGAAGAGUGAAUCUUACUGAAAUAAUGUCUUGAUCUUAGGAGCAUGAUAAAUCUCUCAACAAGGGUCUAACUCAUUUUGAACAAACUCAAUACAGAGCAGAUAGCUUUUAUAAUCAUAAUUAAUAUUUUCAGUUUUAUCAGGCAUAUAAAAUACUGAGGAUGGUAGCUAGAAUUUUGAAUAUUUUGAAAUAAAUUCUCCAAGCAACAAUGAUAUCAAGAAUAAGAAACUCAUACUCUACCAUCACAUAUUCCAUAUUGACUUAAAUAACACAGGGUUUUAAAAUGAUUUUAUAACAAUUGCAAGUUUUCAGGAAAUAUCAUAGAUUGUGAUUAAUCAUGAUUAGAAAUAUUUUAAUUCUUUUAUUUUAUCAUGUCAGAAACAGUAGUCUGCAUAAUCCAGAAUAAAUGUAUGUAUAAAGUAAAGUGUGCAGAGUGUGUACUUGAAUGGUGGAGUGGUGUAGUCGGAGUGUGUUUGGCAUGUCGAGGGAUCUCCCCCAUACUUGUUUUCUGCUUUCUUGCACAAAAAAUAAAGUAGAGACACACAAGACAUAAUAAUAAUAAUAGUACUCUUUAUUGAUCUUGAGGCAUUUAUUACAAAAGACUGAUAGCAAAGUGAUAACAAACUGAUGAUAAUAGCAACUGUUGAUAAUAGCAAACUUAAACCGAAUUUAAAGAUAGAUGACUAAGAUGUAUUGCCUCAAGGUCUAAUCUAGAUAACUUAGCGGCGCUCUAAUUCCUUAAUCUUCUUGUUGGCACUGGCAAGAUCCUGCCUAAGGCCUAGUAUAAUGGUGUUGUGGUUAGAGAGCUGCCUAGUGAGGGAAUUAAUCGAGGACUGGAGGUCUAUGAUAAUUCUAUCUAGCCUGCGAACUUCCUCAUCAAAAUCCAUUAUAGUCUUGCGACGCUUGGGAGGUGUCUCAAAAGCAUUGAGAGCGUGCUUCGGGGCUGCCUUUGGAGGGAUGAAACGGACUUUGGCUGCUCUAAUCCCUUCAAAGUAAGGCCUUUCCUCCUCCGUAGUGUAGCGUACGCUGCUGAUCUCGCCGCUCCGGUUGGUCUUGACUCUAACGACCCUCUCAUUGGGUCUAGGUGGAAGGAUCCUCGUGCCGAUUGGCACCUUGAUAGUGGUCUUCAUCUUGGAUGAUGAUCCUGUGAGGAGUAGGGGUUGUGGUGGUGCGGUGAGAACUGGUUGAGCAUGGUAAGAUUGGGCGGAGCUGCGUUGGCGUAAUGGCAUGGCUUCUAGCUGUCGCUCUGUGUUGGCCGGAACGAGAGCACGGGCAUCGGGGUCUUCCACAGGCUCCAUGUUGAGGUUGAAGGGGACGACUUCCCAAUCAUCGUGGUACUUCUCGGCCAUUGGAACAAAUCAAAUUUUAAUUGAAGGAGAGCUAAUCAAGCUCUAAUUGAAGGAGAGCUAAUCAAGCUCUAAUCGAAGGAGAGAAAGCUUGGUGGCUUGGUGUUUGAAAACUGAGGUCAGGGGUCUGUUUAUAUAGGGGUCAAAAGGGUGCCUCUAUGGGUUGUUCGGGUUUCUCCCGUCGACGUGCAUGCGAAACUUUCCAUCCGAGGGAUUAUUCGGAUCACCCUAAGUGCAUUUUCCAUAACAGAGAAAGUCGGGACCGAGGGGGAACAGGGGCUGGGCGCCCGCCCACUUGACCUGGGCGCUCGCCCUCUCUCUGGCCCCUCUGUGGGCCCACUUCUCCGAGCGCGUUUCUAGAUGCGGAAUUAUUUAGAAAAAUAUAUAUAUGACCCAAAACCAUCAGACCAAAAGUAUCGGGCUGUAAUUCUCCAUGGGAAGGUAAAAAUGGACUACGUCUAUUUCUUCAAAUUCCUCAUUGGGCUCUAAAAAUAAUUUAAGACGUUGACCAUUUACCUUGAAUAACGUACCUUCGCUAUUUUGAAGUGUGAUAGCUCUGUGGGAUGAUGAAUUGAUUACCUUGAAUGGCUCUUCCCAUUUGCUCCGGAGUUUUCCAUGCCCGAAAAGCUUCACCCUGGAAUUAAAAAGUAAUACCUUAUCUCCGGGCGUGAACUCCUUCUUCUUGAUUCUCUUGUCAUGCCACCUUUUGACUCUUUCUUUGUAGAUCUUUGAAUUGUGAUAUGCCUUCUCUCGCCAUUCUUCCAAUUCUGAUAGUUGCAUUCUUCUAUGAUCUCCAGCAACAUCUAGGUCCAUAUUCCAUCUCUUUAUGGCCCAGUGUGCUUUGAAUUCUAGUUCAACAGGUAGAUGGCAAGUCUUCCCGUACACCAAUUGGUAUGGAGACAUUCCAAUUGGGGUCUUGUAUGCUGUCCGGUAUGCCCAGAGUGCAUCGGGUAGCUUGUCUUUCCAUGCCGUUCCCAUUUCAUUUACUGUCUUCUGAAGAAUAUUCUUGAUUUGUAUGUUGGAAGUCUCUGCUUGGCCACUUGUCUGAGGAUGAUAGGGGGUAGCGACGUUGUGACGGAUUCCAUGUCUUGAUAGAUAUUGCUUGAAGCGUUUGUCGAUGAAGUGUGCUCCUCCAUCACUUAUCACUACUCUGGGGACUCCAAAUCUUGGAAAUAUAAUUUCUUCAAACAUCCUCUUUGAACUGACGUUGUCGGCAUGCUUGCAAGGUAAUGCCUCUACCCACUUGGAGACAUAGUCAACUGCCACCAAGAUGUACUCACACUUCUUUGAUGGAGGAAAUGGACCCAUGUAGUCUAUUCCCCAGACAUCAAAGAGCUCAAUCUGAAGGUUGUUGGUGAGUGGCAUUGCAUCCCUUGUAUUUAUGUUUCUGUGCCUUUGACAUGGCCCACAUCUUCUGAUAUAUUGCUUCGUGUCUUCAUACAUUGUAGGCCAAUAGAAUCCACACUGCCAGAUCUUUGAAUGUGUACGGAAUGCUCCAUAGUGACCUCCAUAUGGUGAUGAAUGACAUCUGUCGAUGAUCUUCCAUCCUUCCUCAGUGGUCACGCAUCUCCUGAGUAAGCCAUCAGAGCAUACUCGGAAGAGGUAUGGCUCAUCCCAUAUAUGUGAACGACUUUCUUGAAUAAGCUUCUUCUUGUUUGCUCCUGGUGGUACAUACCCUGAAACCAUAAAAUUAACAAUAUCUGCAUACCAGGGGUCAGACCUGUUAAUCCCGUAGAGCAUGUCGUCCCGGAGUGAAUCAUUGAUGGGGGUUUCCUGUGGAUUCUUAAAAUACAUUCUAGACAAGUGAUCAGCAACAGAAUUUUCUACUCCUUUUUUAUAUUUUAUUUCUAAGUCAAAUUCUUGGAGUAAUAAGAUCCAUCUAAUCAGGCGAGGUUUAGCAUCUUUUUUAGUGAGCAAAUAUUUUAGUGCAGCAUGAUCAUUGUAAACAAUUAUUUUAGCUCCAACUAAAUAAGAUCUAAAUUUAUCUAUGGCAAAGACAACAGCCAGAAGCUCUUUUUCAGUGGUUGCAUAAUUAAGUUGAGCUCCUGUCAAAGUUUUACUGGCAUAAGCAAUUGCAUGAUGCUUCUUGUCUUUAGUUUGUCCCAAUACUGCCCCCACAGCAUAAUCACUAGCAUCACACAUAAUUUCAAAAGGCAACGACCAAUCAGGGGGUUGAAUGAUUGGUGCAGAGAUGAGUGCUUUCUUUAAUAAAUUGAAAGAUGUUAGACAUGCAUCAUCAAAUUCGAAAGGAGCAUCCUUGGCUAGCAAAAGAGUAAGUGGUCUAGCAAUAAAUGAAAAAUCUUUUAUGAAUCUACGAUAAAAACCAGCAUGGCCAAGAAAGCUUCGAAUUCCUUUUAUAUUCACAGGUGGAGGUAGUUGUUCAAUUACUUCAAUUUUAGCUUUGUCUACCUCGAUCCCUCUUUCAGACACUAAGUGUCCUAGCACUAUUCCUUCCCUAACCAUAAAAUGACAUUUUUCCCAAUUAAGUAUUAAGUGCUUUUCUUCACAUCUUUGCAAAACCUUGUCUAAGUUUUCAAGACAACUAUCAAAAGUUUUUCCAUAAACAGAGAAAUCAUCCAUGAAAACUUCCAUAAUCUCUUCAAUCAUAUCAGAAAAUAUAGACAUCAUGCAUCUUUGAAAAGAAGCUGGUGCAUUACAUAACCCAAAAGACAUUCUACGGUAAGCAUAAGUUCCAUAAGGGCAUGUAAAAGUGGUUUUGCUUUGAUCAUCAGGAUGGAUCGGGAUUUGGUGAUACCCUGAAUAUCCAUCUAAGAAACAAAAGAACGAAUGGUUUGCUAACCGCUCUAGCAUCUCAUCUAUAAAAGGUAAAGGAAAGUGAUCCUUUCUCGUGGCCUUGUUUAGUUUUCUAUAGUCUAUGCACAUCCGCCAUCCUGUGACGGUGCGUUGCGGAAUUAGCUCGUUCUUUUCAUUCAUAAAAACUGUCAUGCCUCCCUUUUUGGGCACAACUUGCACUGGGCUCACCCACUCACUGUGCGGCACAGGAUAUAUAAUCCCUGCAUGCAACAACUUUAUAACUUCCUUUUUAACUACCUCUCUCAUAGUGUUGUUAAGUCUACGUUGGGGUUCUCGAGAGGGUGUAACAGAAGGAUCUGUUGGAAUACGAUGGGUACAAAUCAUAGGACUGAUUCCUGUAAGAUCUUGAAGUGAGUAGCCGAAAACUGAGUGACGUUUCUCAAGAAUGGUCAUUAAUCGCAAAGUUUGAUCCUGAGUGAGUUUAUCGCUAAUGAUCACAGGGAACUCUGGAUUAUUGUUUAGGAAAGCAUAGGUAAAACCGGGUGGUAAUGUUUUAAGCUCUAUGGGAGGUCUAGGUGUUUCUGCAAACUCAUCUAAGGGUUCAGGCUCGGAAGGUUCGUCUUCUUCUUCAGUGAAGAAAGGAGUUUCGUCUUCUAAGUCUGGUUCAUCUAAAAGCUCUAGAGAUGCAGCCUUUACUUCCUCCAUAGGAUCAGGCAAAAGAUAUGACUCGGCCUUAUUGUUUAAGGAGUGUGAAAUUGUUAUCGGGAAUUUAAAGGUUUUUCCAAAAGAAAUGUGUAGCUUUCCAGUAUGACCUUCAUAAAUGUGUCUUCUAAAAGGUUGUCCUAUCAACAGGUCGAAGUCCCAUGUAUCAAAGAUAUAAAAGUUCAAAUGAACCAUGGAGCCUUCUACUGUAAGAGGUAGGAUAAUAAUAAUUCCAAGACUGGGGACUAAUCGUCCCGAAGAUUCCUUUAUGACCUUUGUUGUGGGGNNNNNNNNNNNNNNNNNNNNNNNNNNNNNNNNNNNNNNNNNNNNNNNNNNNNNNNNNNNNNNNNNNNNNNNNNNNNNNNNNNNNNNNNNNNNNNNNNNNNNNNNNNNNNNNNNNNNNNNNNNNNNNNNNNNNNNNNNNNNNNNNNNNNNNNNNNNNNNNNNNNNNNNNNNNNNNNNNNNNNNNNNNNNNNNNNNNNNNNNNNNNNNNNNNNNNNNNNNNNNNNNNNNNNNNNNNNNNNNNNNNNNNNNNNNNNNNNNNNNNNNNNNNNNNNNNNNNNNNNNNNNNNNNNNNNNNNNNNNNNNNNNNNNNNNNNNNNNNNNNNNNNNNNNNNNNNNNNNNNNNNNNNNNNNNNNNNNNNNNNNNNNNNNNNNNNNNNNNNNNNNNNNNNNNNNNNNNNNNNNNNNNNNNNNNNNNNNNNNNNNNNNNNNNNNNNNNNNNNNNNNNNNNNNNNNNNNNNNNNNNNNNNNNNNNNNNNNNNNNNNNNNNNNNNNNNNNNNNNNNNNNNNNNNNNNNNNNNNNNNNNNNNNNNNNNNNNNNNNNNNNNNNNNNNNNNNNNNNNNNNNNNNNNNNNNNNNNNNNNNNNNNNNNNNNNNNNNNNNNNNNNNNNNNNNNNNNNNNNNNNNNNNNNNNNNNNNNNNNNNNNNNNNNNNNNNNNNNNNNNNNNNNNNNNNNNNNNNNNNNNNNNNNNNNNNNNNNNNNNNNNNNNNNNNNNNNNNNNNNNNNNNNNNNNNNNNNNNNNNNNNNNNNNNNNNNNNNNNNNNNNNNNNNNNNNNNNNNNNNNNNNNNNNNNNNNNNNNNNNNNNNNNNNNNNNNNNNNNNNNNNNNNNNNNNNNNNNNNNNNNNNNNNNNNNNNNNNNNNNNNNNNNNNNNNNNNNNNNNNNNNNNNNNNNNNNNNNNNNNNNNNNNNNNNNNNNNNNNNNNNNNNNNNNNNNNNNNNNNNNNNNNNNNNNNNNNNNNNNNNNNNNNNNNNNNNNNNNNNNNNNNNNNNNNNNNNNNNNNNNNNNNNNNNNNNNNNNNNNNNNNNNNNNNNNNNNNNNNNNNNNNNNNNNNNNNNNNNNNNNNNNNNNNNNNNNNNNNNNNNNNNNNNNNNNNNNNNNNNNNNNNNNNNNNNNNNNNNNNNNNNNNNNNNNNNNNNNNNNNNNNNNNNNNNNNNNNNNNNNNNNNNNNNNNNNNNNNNNNNNNNNNNNNNNNNNNNNNNNNNNNNNNNNNNNNNNNNNNNNNNNNNCGGAUCACAUCAGAGGAAAGCUCUGAUUCCUCCAACCAUUCGCUACUCAUUACUGAGAUAAGCUCUCUCAAUUGAUAUUCACUUGGUAAAUAAAUGCUAAACUGGCCGUUUUGGGGUUUGUCAAUAGAAUGGUAGUUUGAAAUAUUUCCAAAAUCGGCAAAAAGAUUGGAUUCUAUAUCCAGCAUGAAGUCCGGUAGUGGAAUUUCUUUCUCUUGUGGCUCAGAACUUGGGAUAGCUAAAGUAGAUGAAGAAUUUGGCAGAGUGUCUACUUCGGCUUCGUAGGUUUCAUCAUGAAGGGUAUUAUCCAUCUCAGCUUCUAGGAUUCUAUCUAGGAUCACUCUAGCUUCAUCAGCAGGGAUGCGAAAGAAAGAACCUCUAGACAUUGUGUGCAGCAUUUGUUUGUAAUUUUUAUGAAGACCUCGAAAAAAGUGAAAUAAAAGAACAGGGUUUUCAAGAUUAAGGUUUGGACCAGAUUCUAAAAGAUCAGAAAAACGUUUCCAGGAUUUUCCCAAAGUUUCAUUAUCUUUUUGUUUAAAAGAUAGGACUUCGAGUCUAAGGUCGGCUAUACUGUCAAGGGAAUAGAAAUCUAGACAAAAGUUGGCUCGUAAAACUCCCCAUUCACCUUGUUGUUGACUUACCUUCUGACUGUACCAUUGUCUAGCUUCUCCCCUUAAAGAAAAAGGAAAAAGCUUCCAACGUAAAGUCUUAUCAGAAAUGCCUUCAAUGCGAAGACAAUCACAUGUUUGCUCAAAAUCUCUAAUAUGAAGGUAAGGGUUUUCGUCUUCCUUUCCUGAAAAAGAUAGGUUUUGAAUCAUGGCAAUCAACCUAGAACUUAACUUAUACUGGGAUGUUUGGAUAGGCUGUGAUGAUUCUCAUGGUAAAAGGUCAGUUGCUAAAGGGAUUGCAGACUCAUGGAUCGAUUUAGAAUUUUGGUUUUCCAUAAGGUAAGAGUAAAGAAAAUAAAUAAAGAAUAUAAAAGAUAAGAUAAAAGUAUAGAUACAAGCUAAUAGCAAGACACAGGUUAUCUCAGCAACCGUCUUUCUCCCCGGCAACGGCGCCAGAAAUGCUUGUUGAUAUUUGGGAACGCAAUAAGGAAUUGAUCCGCAAGCGCACGGAUAUCGGUGAGCACUUCACCCGGGAGGUUAUCCAGAGUAUCGUAUUUAUUUUUUUACCACUAGGAGAAAGAGUGCAUCUGACUAACCGGUCUAUUACUACUAACCUUUAGGCACAAAGAAUGUCUUUCGAUGUGAGUGAUAAAUAGAGAAGACUGCAACCGUAGUCUCCUUCUAACCUUGGUAAGGAUGAUAUACUGUUCUAAUGGGGAGACUAAUGGAAUCUAGACACCACAAAGGAUGUUCGACCCGCACCUAUAAACCCUAUCCUUCCUGCUAACGAGAUGUGAUCUACAAAGGUAGCUCGGAAUUGUCACGUUCCUCACUACUACCACGGUCCAGCUAGUCAGGGAAUAUCUAUGAGUACCCCAGCCUAAACACCACGUUUACGCCAGCAAUGAUUACUCUAAACUCUACGCGAAGAGAUUAAAGUAAACUCAUAAACCAUAAGAACAAUAAAACAAGAAAUUACUAGAAUUUAGAAGUCGAAUUACUGAAGAAUCCUAGGAGCAAGCUUCGGGUUAGGAGAACUUGAUCCCGCAGGUACAAGCUUGGAGUAGACACCGACAGGCCGGGCUUCCUCCACUCUUCACCUCCACUCUAUCUCUCUCAAUCUAGUAGAAACUAGAAGAUCUAUUUCUACGUUACAUUGAUUGCUAAGCCUAAAAAGAAAUAUUAAUUAGAGAAGAGGUUUUCCUUCGAGGGCACCCCUCAGUCUCUAUGAUAAUUUCUUCAUGUCUUCUCCAGGGGCCAGGGGCCUUGCUUAUAUAGUCCUCCCCUUCUAUGCGUUUUUGGGUCGAUAGGCGAGGUGGUACUAUGUUUUUCUUGAUCCAAUAGGUCGGUGGAAUAUCCCGAGCGAAAGAGUCCUGAUUUGGCUCCAACAGGGGGGCGGGCGCCCAGGCUACCAGGGCGGGCACCCUGGGCGUGGCCCAGUUUCGCCUCCGCUUCGGUCUCGUGGCUUCUGGAGUCUUCUAGAUGAUGUAAAAUUACGCGGUGCGUUGAUAUCUCUAUGUAAUCCCGAUAUGUGGGCCUUUCUUCCUUAUUUCCUGAUAACCCCCUACAGAAACAGAUAAACAACAAAACUCGUGGAAUUCUGUCAGAUCAAACCCUAAUUCUAGGUGAUGGUUGCAUAUUGGUCCUUUCUCUUGUUUAUUUGAUAAUUAAAAUUGGUAUUUAAGAACCGUCAACAAUUAACACAUGGUUCUUUUCCACGAUAGCAAAUAUAGCCAACCGUGAUCUGGAAUCCAUCUAUAUCCUGCAGGUGACAGGAAAUCACCUGGCUUCUACCGAGCUAAGCAUGGCUAAGCAUAGACGUGAUCCUGACUAAUUAGGAUUCAGGUUAUAUAUAUACUGGACAAGGAAGGGUAUAUAUGCAGCAAGGGUUUCAUCCAACUCCUAUACUUAAUGCAACAAUACAUAUAUAACAUAUAUAUACUCAUUCACUUUCAAAAAUUAGGAGGCUUAUAAUGCUCCGGGGCUUGCCUGCAAUGUGACAUCGAGUCAGAUUAGUUAGCUUGCUCCGUCUUGGUGACAUCUAAGAUCAUAACACUUGCUUAAUCAUUCCAUCUUCGGGAUGAUCCACCAUCACGUCCUUCACGUGGUUCAUCUAGCAUACCUAUAUGACAUGCAAGAUGCAAGUGCAUGAACACAUGGAAGUGCAAUAGACAAAGCAUUACACACAAGAAGCAUGACAAGAGCAUGGUUUACACUAAACACACUUAAGCACAUCUCAUUGCUCAACUUAAUGAUUACACAACCAACAUGCUAAGCCAACAAGGAAUGCAACACUAAACAUAUUAGACAUGGCAUACAUGUUCCACCAGGUCUCAGGUAUAUUAACUUGGCCAUUACCAAAGACAUGAGUCAUACAUAGCAAUAUACCAAGCAACAGCAAUACAAGGAAUCUGCCAUUUUUAGGACUGUUAACAGCAGCUGAGAAAAUCAAUCAUAACUGGAGUUACAAAACUCCAAAGGACAUGAAUUAAGACAUUCUGGAAAGCUUAAGAAAUUAUCUACAUUUGAUAUUUAGACAUCAAAGCAUGAUUCUCAACUUAAGCUGGUCGAAAUUAUAAGGUUCCAGAAUCUGUCCCUGACAAACAGAGAGCAGCCAUUUCUGGAAUCAAACUUUGAACAGACAUAACUCACAAACCACAAGGCCAAAUACUACCAAAUUUUAACAGCAGGUAGAUAACUGAAUUAUAUACAACUUUGCUAUAAACAAGAUUCCCAUAAAACAUCAUUUACAUGUUGUAAUCCAAACAGUUCCACAAACUGUCCAGAAACAACAAUUGCAAACAAUUAAUUAUUAACUUAUGUUUCAAACAUGCAUUUGAGCAAAACCAUUGUUACCAACAGUUUGCACAUAUCUAAAGAACACCAGAAAACAUAGUGGUCACAACCAAAUAAAUUUAUUUAAUGCAUUUCUUAAUUUAUUUGGAUAAUAAGGUGAAUUAAAGAACAUAUACAAAAAGUACACAGUAAAUACCACCAAAAUUACAGUAGCCUCUACAUACUAUAAAUAGACUUUUAUACAAAUUUCAUUGUAUUUUAACAAACAUAGCAGUCUCUAUGAAAAAGACAAAUUGCUAUUGCAAUUAACCAUGUGAGAGCAAGAUAAAUCUAAAACUCACAUUUUCUUCAAACACAUGACCAUAAUAUAUAUCAACAUGAUACAACAAUAUCACAGAAUGGUAGUGGAACAACAUUUUCUAUUUGUACAUUUUAAUUUAUAAUAAUAAACCAUUUAUCAAGCCCUAUGAAGACAUCUCUGUUCAAAUCAUGGACAGAAUCUGUCAUGCCACAUUAAACAGCUAUAACUUGAGGUUCACAUGUCCAUAAUUUAUGGUUGUGUACUUUCUAGAAAGCUUACGAAAUUGUGAACAACUUUGUUAUAAACAUCUAGAGCUAAAUCUACCACUAACAAGGUCUUACAUUACAAACAAUGCAAUCCAGUCUGGGUUUAGACAGAAACUGGAACAGUACUUUAAACCACUAUAACUAAACAUGUGCUUAACCAACAAUUGUGCUAUUUAUCUUUUUGGAAUGAUUAUAAAAACUACUACAACUCAUAUAUUUUCAUCCAGGCAAGAUUCACAACUUAACUGAGCCAAAUAAUACAAACAUGCAGAUUUACUCAGAAUAGGAGCAAAGCAACACAGGGCAUUUGUUAUUUUUAUAACUCCCAAUCUGUCAUGCCUAAAUUCAUCAAACUUUUACCAGAAAUCAAAUAUCAUAUUAAAUGCUUGUCAUAAUAUUUUCACAUUUAUUUGUGCAAUAAUACAGUGGUUAUGAAAAAGACAAAUAUAGCAAGCAAUUAAAACCGAACUGCACAAAUCUAUUUCUACAGCUAAAACUUUAAACUAAAACAUGGUAUAUUAUAGAUCUACUGCAUAGAGAAUUUCACAGGGAUUCCAAAAAGUCCACAUUUGCUAUUUUAUGACUUUUCUACGAAUUACUAAGCAUUUCCAAAGUUUAUCCAUAAAAUCUGCAAAAACAAAAGAAAAGGAAAACAGAUCUUGCACCGGGAACCCUAGCUUUUCCAAGAAUCACGCCACAGCCCACUAAUAUGAGUCUUAGCAUCGCAUCUGGAACCCUGAGUUGUUUCUUAUUCUAACGCGAGGUCCUUCUUCAACCUGAUUUACGGAACAGAGCACGAAGGCAGCUGCAAUGCUGGCCUGGGAUGUCGCUGUCGGCGGCGGGGAAGAGGAGCAGGCGCAUGCUGGAGGUUGGCCUCGCCUUCGUGGGACCAGUGCCCGGCCAGCCACAACCGGCUCUCGCCCAGCCACGAAACCAGUAGGGCAGCGAGCUCCAUGAACACAUUGCCCCGUCCGGAGGGAGCGGCUGGCUUGGGAGGUGAAGGAGGUCUCAGCAGAGCUGCGCAGGGGUAGAGAGGAAGCAGCGCCUACAGCUGCUCGACCUGCUCGUCCGUCCAUGGCGGUGGACUGCCAUGGCGAGCAGAGAGCGAGGAGAGGCGACAGGAAGACGUGGGAAGUGAAGGAGGGCAAGGUAGCGGGUACACAGGCGUCUCGGCCUCUCUCCCAACCGCUCAGUUUGUGGCAAGGGUGAAGUGGAGGUGGCAGCAAUGGAGGAGACGCUCUGUGCAUGGUUGCCACAUCCAGAGCACGUGUUGUCCGUUGAGGCAUUUCGCCGAGCACGUGGCGGGUGACCGUGUGCCGACGUGGGAAGCUUAUUUGGGCCAAUUCCAGGCUGAUUUCGAUCAUGGGCUAAAAACAAAGUUUGUUGUCCAUGUGCUGCUCUACAUUUUUCGUUUAUGGCUGAUGGUCAUUAGGAUUAUAGAUUAGUAGAUAAUUAGAUGCCAAGCCACGAGUGUCAAUGAAUUGAUAAUAUAUCCAACUUUUAUUAAGGGAUCAACUCAAGUUGUUUAGUAAACUUUGAAGAACGCGGAAUGCCAACAUGACGAACUGAAAUUCCAGACUUAGAAAUUCAAAAUGCUAGAAUUUACAGCAGAUUCGAUCUUGUGACUAUUAUUUGACAGGCUUAGAAGAUGAUUCGGCCUUGAGCACUUUAACAAAGUUUGUAGCAUACAAACUAUACUACAACUUUUAUUAAAGGACAUUAUACUGUUUCUGCCUGGUUAGUAAGGUAUAAGGCUCCCAACUAGGGUACCCGAAACUGAGCACCUUGAGGACUUAGCCAAAUUUCUGAGAUCCAAAACAGCACUGCAUUGAAUCUUGGGAGCUUAAUUUGACUAGGAUAGGUACCAAACUAGCUCUUGACAAUUAAAUAAAGUUUGUUCUACAGAAGAAAAACUACAACUUUUAUUCAAGGUCAAAACUCAUAACUGGUACGAAACUCAAACUUUCACUUUGGUCAAAGUAGCAACUUGAUAAAGCUCAAACUAGGGUUUUAGACCAAAUAAAGCAUUUUCUUGGCACAAGCUCAAUAUGAACCCUUCAUGACUUUUGUUGUAGAGUUCAUCUAGAGUAAUUUGAUCAAGAUUGCAAGAUUAGGCUAGUAACCCAAGGUUCCAUUCACUUAAUAAGGUCAUUCCAUCAAGCAUGUAACUUAUUAUUUCAUUUGACCUUUUGAAUCCAAACUUCAUGAAACUUUUUGAGUGAUCACCUAGGUAGUGAUAGAGAUGAUACACAUGCAAGAAGCACCAUCAACACCCACAAGCUUUAUUAUGUAAGAUCUUCAAGCAUUCACUUGUCACAACAUCAAAGUAUGUUUCAUACUAUCAUAUAUGAACAAAUGAUGUUUAUGCUCAUAAAAUGUGAGUGCCGAAAUGCAAGACAAACACCUGGGGUGUUACAGGUUAUAAACUUCUAGUUUUUUGAGCUGAAGUAUUGAAUACUUAGUUUAUGGAUUAUACAAUUUUUUUGCUAAAUUGAUCCUUCCGAGAUCAGUUUAUAUGCCAGUAUAGUCCAAUCGUUCAUGUGCUUCUAGGAAAUUCAAUCUCCCUUCUACCUACAUGGUAGUAUUGCACAAAAAACGAUAACCUUCAUGGUUAAUAUAGCUUCUUUGUGGAUAAAAAUAAUGCAAAACUUAUUUAGAUAGGCAAAAUAAGCAAUUAUUUAUAUGUGAAACAUAUAAUUCUAAUUCACUCCAUAUAAGAUUGACACAUAUUACUGCAAGUAAAGAAUAUUAAAUACUUGAUAUUAGUCUUCAAGCUAAUAAAAUAACCAUUAACUCUUCUAUGAGUUUAUAAAAUCCAUUUAAUUCAACAGGAAUUAAAACUUAAAGCACUGCCGCCAUUAAUACUUCUGGAUAGUAAUUUCAGAGACAAAAUAAAUAUAUAAGCACAUAAUUUAAGUUCUUCUAGAGAAACCUUAAAAAUUCAUUACCCAUUCUUGCAUGUCUUAGCUUCUAUGCUUGACAUUUAGCAUCUUCAUGCAUGCUUUAUUUCAUAAUAGUAGUGAUAUGUAAUAAUGAUCCUUCUAGGAGUGCAACAUAUGCAAGUCAUAUUUCCUGGUUCAUAGAGCUGUCUAAAAAUUCUAACUCAACUUCUAUUUGAGUAAUUUCUGAUGAUAAAUUUAGAUACUUCAUGUAUUAUAUUGCUCUUUGAUAUUCUAUAUACAAGAGAAAUUUCUUCAAGAAUAUUCAUCGUCAAAAUCUUUAUUUACCAUCAUGUCCUCUAUGAUAUAGCUUGAAAAUUCAAUUUUCAAUAAUAUGGGAUAUCUUCUAAAAUUUCUCAUGUAUCCCACAAAGACCUUUGAGAUUUACUAUGGUCAUAUAUUUAUUCAAGAUAGUAAUACCAGGAACUAUAGUGCCUCAGUCUACUACACUUCAGUGGUAGUAGAGUAUCCUACUAGGAUUUAACAAUGACAAUUUAUUAUAAAAUUGUGUCAUUCAAAACAAAUCCAGGAUAUUCCUUCUUCAUGAAGGUAUGUAUAUAUAUAUCAUUAUAACUGGAAUAAUUAUGUGUGUAUAAGUUUACUACGAGUAAAUAAGUAGCAAGGUGCAAAAGAUAGUGGAUGGUUAUACAAAAUACUCUUAGAAGCAUCCUAGCAUUUUAAGGAUAUAAUCAUGGUAUAUGCUAAUUUUCAAAAUUAAUACCAAUCCUUCAUUCAUCCCAAAAAAAUCAUUAUGCUACAAAAAAAAUAUAAGCUUGUCAAAGGUGAUAAGUCUAAGGUCUGCAGGAUUUAAAGAGCUUAUAUUUCAUACCAUGUUUUUUAAUGUAAUCAUUCAAGAUUUAUUCUUACAAUUACAUAGUAUAUAAUUUACAAUGUGUGAUAAAUAAAUGCUUUUCAUAUAGCAUACAGAUAUCAACGCAGGGCAUUUAUACAUAAAUAGAGAAAUAAAUAUUCUGAAUGUUAACACAAACCCAUACUUUUCUGUAGGAAAUUCAGAUUUCACUAAGGGUUUAUUUUAUUAAUUCAAUACUCUAUGCUAUUUCCAAAUAGCAUAUGAGCUUUACCGUAGAUGCACAAGCAAUCCAGUUUUAAGUUGGAAAUGUUCUUAUCCAUUCAAACAGUAGUCACAUUUAGUGCGGACUACGUACGCGGACAGCCAAAUAACAUGGUCCCAGCGUGCAAGCACAAGUACGAUGUGGGCUGCAUGCCAAGGUGAGGGGCUUCUAAGGGCACUCAAAAUGCAAGACUCUAUCACAUAGGCCAAGACACUUAAUUACAUAUUAUUUAUGAUAUUUUACUGAUGUGGUAGCAUAUUUAUUGAAGAAAGAGGUAGAAAAAAUAAGACUCCAAGUCUUAUUUAGACUCUAAGUCCACAUUGUUCGAGGUAAUAAAUAACUUUAGGCUCUGUGAUAGAGUCUGCAUUGUGAGUGCCCUAAUGCAAUGAGUCCGCUCGGCGUACGACGUGAUAGGAGCAGGCUACAAUGCGAAUGCAUGACUUCCGGUCAGCAAUAUAAUUUUGCUUAGGUCAUUGCUAGGAUUUCAGUUAGCGAUCAAAGUGACUUCAAGUCAAUCCAUAUGUGAUCGAACAAGAAGAAGUUGCUUGAUCUAAAAGAUAUAUGAUUGUUAGAAUCAAUCUAUUAGAUAGUACUAGAUAAUAUUUAGUACAGACUCAUGUUAUUUAUCUUUUGCAAAUACAAAACCCUCAGCUGUAAGGGAAGGGAGGAGCAAGCCAUGUAUGAGCAAACGAGUAAGCACCAUUCAGGCAUAUAGGCAACGGAGGACAAGGCAGUAGCAGCUUCAUACCCAUGCUAUCCGGGACUCCGAGCGAGAGAGCAGCAGCGUGCAAGUUGCUGUCACGUGGUGGCGUGCGGGCCACAAAUCAAAUAUGCAAUUAAUGGCAGAUCUAAUGACUACAGGUCAAAACCCAAAUCAUCGUAAAAGAUGAGUAGUAGAAGGCUCCGAUUGCGGAUCGUGUAACCUUAGUUUGGUUGUGUUGCAUGUGGGUGGGUUCUUCUGCAGGAACGAUCUUGAGCUUGCACUACGAGUUCGGAUGACAUGGAAGCCAUGUAUAUGAUUUUAAGUACAGAUAAUGUGCAUGUACAUAUAUAUGCGUAUGUACUUUCUUGUACAUAUUAGCCCCGUUUAAUAAUAGGGACAAAAGAUAUCUGCGAGAUAUAAUUCUUUCAUACCUGACAUAGGAUGUCAAUUUGAUCUACUUCAUAUGUCGCGUAGGACAGUGGUUAGUAGAUACAAACCGCGUAGGGUAUUUGACAUUGUCGUAGAAUCGCUUGCUUGAGAAGACUCUGCAUAUCGAUGCAGUGUAGAUUAGUUGCAGGUAGAGGUAGUAGAUCCGUUCCACUAACAACGUCGGAGAUGUAGACGUCGUCGAAGCAGUCAUGUCCGAGGAGUCAGCGGCAUGAGCGUCGGCAUCGAAGGUCGGCGCGGCUUCAACGGCGUCGACAUAGAGCUUGUCGUGCUGAUAACGUGUUAUAAAACAUGUUGCCAGUGGUUGGGACAUUUCCCUCUCCGUCUCUCAUGAUCAAUAUAGUAGAUGAAAGUAGAAGAACAAAUAGACACAAGAUAGGGAGACUAUUCUUUAUUUCUCUGAAUAUUGGUGAUUACAACAUAAAGCUCCCACGUAUAUAUAGUCCUGCCAAGGCCUAAGAGUUUUGAUAAGAGCCCACAUACAAAAUGAUUAGGAUUAUAAUUCCUCCUUCUCUUUUCUUUCUAGGUAUUAAAUCCGUAUGUUUUACAAGAGAAAGGACUAGGCCAUGUGAAAUUGGGUCCACCGGCCUCAACGUUCGGCCCCACCAGAUGUACAUAACUGUGUCAUGCAAAAAAGGAAAAGAGAAAAAGAGAAAAUCGCACCCGCCGUGCAAUCACUAAUUUUUUCUUUCUUAUAUUCACACAAAAAAACAAAUCUCCUAUCUACCCCCUCUAUCAGGGAAAGAAUAUAAUAUACGUUACCAAAACAAACGUAGUGACCAAAGAAAAUCACACAUAUACCCUGCUUUUCCCAUGAUGCACGUAGUCAAGGCCUACACUCUUGAGCAAGCCGCUUGUACUGCUUUUACUCCCUCACUGUCUCCAACUCGUACGAACGAGAUUUUUUAUCCUAGCAGGACUCAUAUAUCUGCCAGCCUAUAGUCAUGCCUCAAGUUUAAGGCUCGUACACUCUUAUUUUAUAUGUUGUACUUUUUUUCUAGUCAAUACUAUUUUUCUCUCACGAUAAAUUAGUAAACAAUAUUUUUAGCCUUUUUAGACCAGCGCUCUAAAAUUGUAUUCUUUCCUAGACACACCUCUGUUCCUAAAGUUGCAUGUUUUUAGGGUUCUAAAUUUAUUUUAAUUCUUCUGUCUCUGUACUCACUCAAAUCAAAUGGUUGAUAUCAUUUGUGUCAACCUCAUCAUCUGUCCCCCGCCCGUAGCCAAUGCGGCACACGCAUCACUGCAACUACCCGAGUUCAACCCUCUCCUCCCCAUUUUCAUCGGUUGCUUUUUUUCAUUGAUUGUUUUUCCAAAACAAAAAUAAUUAGACAGCAUGUGUUGACGCUGAAGAUUGCUCUAAGCCAACACACCAACGAGGGCCUUGGAUGUUCGGAGAGGUUGUAGAUCAAUCUGCAACGCAGCAAGAAUGUAGCAUAAUCGACCUAACCGAUCUAGAGACCGAUAGGGCCAAUGUAGAGGUCGAUCUUGGCUGAAACGACUCACGAACUACUCCCAGAAGGAUCCAUCAGGAAGGAGCACAUGGAGGAUCUCUUAGGACUAGCAAGGGCGCCUAAGAUGCCAACAAAUCUCAUGGAGAAACUUGCUAAACAGCACCUAAGAUGCCAACAAAUCUCGUGGAGAAACUUGCUAAACAGCUGGAGGGAUUGAGAGAGGAGAAUUAGAGCAAAGAAUAGAUGUGUUUUGUGUUUUGGACGAUUGGAUAGAUGGGAACUCAAUCGGCCAUGUUCCUCUUAUAUAUAUAGAGGGGAUGGUCUUAACCCAGUAGAAAACCUCUCCAAGUCUAUUUUCAGAGUUUCCCACAAGUUUGGAACUGUUCGGAUCAGAAUUUCGAAGGCUAGAUCUGAACAGUUAUUAGGUCUGUCGGAAGUCGAGUCAGAAGUCACGACUCGGGUGGGAACUCCCAACGUUUGUUGGAACUCUCGAUGUGGGUCAGAACUCCUGACUCGAGUCAGAACUUCCGACUCAGGUCGAAACUCCCGACGUUUGUCGGAACUCCCGAUAGCAGAGCAUCUUCUCGAGGGCAUAACUUCUUCAUCUAGACUCCAAAUUAGACGUUCCAUAUAUAUUUUUUGACCAUCUCGGCGAGAGGAACACAAUGGUGAAGUUUGUUCCACAUUUUGAAAACUUCACAAAAAGGAUAAUUUUGGUUGUCAACAGAUGUCCCCUAUUUUCAGGUGAAUGAUACAUGAACCUAAAAAUAAUUAAGCAAACAAAACUAACAACCAUCUUAUCGACUAUUCAGUGACUAAGGGGCUAUUUUUGUUCUAAGAGCAAUACAUGUAUCAGCCAUUGUUUCGGGAGCACUUAGGCUUCUGGCCAAACACUUGGAAAUACUUUUUCAAGUAUCUCCCAUUGAAUGCUACUUUGAGACGUUCACCAUGCAAUGUCUCUAGCAUAUAAGAACUACUAUGUAUGACUUUGAUUACUUUAUAAGGACCUUCCCAAUUUGGUGACCACUUGCCAAACUUAUUACUCUUCGACCCAAUAAGAAGUAUGGUUUUCCACACUAACUCUGCUACAUGAAAGAAUUUGUUCUUGACCUUUUUGUUGUAUGCCUAGGCAACUUGAGCUUUGUCUUUUUCUAUCUCCUUGAGAGCUUUCAAUCUUACAUCAGUCAUCUCAUUGAUAUUAUCCAUCAUCCGAUCAUGAUACACAAAUGCUGAUAAAUCAUUUUGUUUAGCAAGCCUGUAUGCCUCCAAAUUUACUUCGAUGGGUAACACGGUAAUGGGGACAGGUUCCUGAUCUUCUGUCAGGUUCAAGAUACACAACGAUUUUGUCAGAGAGUGACACACCAAUCUAGCUUCAGAUCACAAAGACCCAAACCCUGGAACCUUAGCACCAUGCCUCCAUAGGUUAUGGACCGACGCUGCACGGUUGACCUCGCCAAGAAGACUAAUAUUUGCUUGCAAAUCAAAGAACACAAGCAAGAACAAGAAAGAAUGCAACCAAAUUCGUAGAUGAAUGAUUAAUCUCAGGAGUUGGGGUCUCACAAACUGAUAAAACGUUGAAACUAUUCUUGACAGAAUAAUCUAAGCAAAACCAAAACCCUAAAGUAGGUGGCAGCUACUGAUUAUAUAGCCUAAGGGGCGUCCAAAGACCCCCUCUUCACAUCCAUAAGGUGUUGCAACACAUUACAAGGCCCAAUGGCUCAAAAGACAGCAACACAGCACCCUGACAGAUUCUAGACGUCAACUUGUUUCAAUGAUUCCCGUUAACUCCAAUGGAAUUUGGGCCUUACACUAAAUCCAUUGGUUAGCUUAUGAAAUUAUCUUUCGAUUCAUAUGUGGAUCAUUAUAAACAAAGUUAGCAUGCAAGCUGAGCGUCCAUUUACUAAAUGCUGCUCCUAGAGCCUGAGAUGGACUCGAACUUGACUUGGAUUGGGCCUCCAACUUUGACGUGGACAACAUUGCUGACCCUCUAAGGUGGUGGCCAAGGGAAAGGACGUCCGCAAUCUUCCUUUGGGUGUUCUUGAUCUCCUUAGGGCAUGCUCCAACUUGGGCUAGGAUCCCAAUGGUAAAUAACAAGCCCAUGAUGAUGAUGUAGCUCCUAGCAGAAACAAUGACAACAUGUCUCAUUUAUUUGGAGGCCUUGCUGACAUGAUAUUGAGAUUAAACUAGAUCCAUUGGAAAGACUAUCAAACAAGCUUUGCAUCAAGUGCUCAUUAACCUCAAUCUCACUCCGGAUGGAUGUGUUAUGGCCUUCCUAGUAAAGUAGUAUCGGGCUACCGACGAACCGAAAGUUCAAUUUUGAUGGACUUGCACUUUCAGACAUAUUUGAAGUUAUAAUCAAAUAAUGACGUGUACAUGUGGAACCAAGUGAAUUGUACCAAAAAUCACUAUACAAAUAUAGGAAUAAGCUCACCUUAUAAUCAAUAGAUAUAUUUGAAGUUGUCAUGUCCUCAUCAUCCUCCCCAUCUUGACAACAAAUCGUCCUCAGUUUGAGAUUUGUUGAAGAGCAGGUUAUAGGUAGUAACCAACUUUGCUCCCCUUCUUGAAAAUUGACAUGUAUCCUUAUAACAAAAUUUGGGGUCUCAAAAUGACAUGAUUAUAUCUAUUGCAGCCCUCUAAUUGAUCAUAUUGUUGCACAACAAAAGAAUAUUUUAGAUUUAAACAAAAGUAGACACGAUGCACCAUAUACUAUCCUUUACAAUUAUAUUUGCCAAUAAAGUGAUAUAUAUCUAGAUAACCAUGAUAAUUCAACACAUUUAAAUUUCUCCUCCAAACUACUAAGAGCACACAAAGUUUCAAACUUAAUAUAUCCCAAAGUAUUUAAAUAAGAGAACAAAUUUAGUUCGUCUUGUUUAAUGACAAUUGGAAGCAGUUGUUUAUUUCUGGCAUAAGUAUUUUGUUCCAAAACAAAAGAAUCAUUCUCUUAAGUUGUGGCAUAGGAAUAAUCAUAGCAAUACUAUCACAUAACUCCUCCUUAUCACAAAUGUUAGCAGAACAUUCAUCAUGUGACAAAGUUAAAUCAAGAGAAGGUACUAGUAUAGCAUUGUUAGCAUCAUUGGCAUUACCUCAGCUCUCAUUCUCAAGAGGAGUAAUAGGUGAUGGUUCUAAAUUUUCACAUGAGGUUGGGAGCACCUCAUUUUCAUCACGUCAUCCUCACUCUUUUGUAUAUUGUUGUUGAUAGUAGUUAAGUACCAAUUUUUAACUGUCAUCAUAACAUGAGAAAGGAUUAAAACAUGGAUACCAUCUAGUUAUAGGGGUUACACUAACAAAGGUGAAUAUCUAUUUCUAUAGGGGGUUAUUAGAAAAGAACCAAAAGAGGUCCACAUGUCAGAUUUACAUAGAGAGAAUACCACGUCUAGCAGCUCAAGAAUACUCUAGAAGACUUGAGGAGGCAUCCCUGUGAAGCUGGGCCCACCUAGCAGCUAGGUAGGGGUGGGUGCCCAUGCCCCAUGGGUGGCCACCCGACCAGCUCCACCAAUCAGGACCAACCUCGUGGAUCCUGUCUCGACCGACUUUGAGGAUCAAUAUGAAGCAUCCAUUCAAGUUAGUUUCAUCCAAAGGCUACGGUGCAUCCUAGGAGGCUAUAUAUUUAGGGCCUCUGGCUCCUAGAGAAACCCUACUUCAUUCUCUGAUUCAUUCGGAGAAUUCAUCUUCAACUCCAAAGAAGCUCUAGAGCCACCAUUGUUGGUGUUUCUUAGCGAAACCACUAAGGAUAGAGUUUGAGUCCAUCCCUAAUGAUAACACUAGAAACGUUCUUGGCAUAUCCUAACCACCAUCACUUCAGAAUGAUAACCCAAGGCUCUUUACGCCGCGGGCCUAGGCAGUGCAGUCUGGUACUGAUGAUUAGUAAUGCCAGAUUGGCCUUCCUAACCAUCCUUACUUACGAUAUGCAAAGCUGUGGCCCGGCGCCGGGUGAGUGCACAAGGAUUACAAUCUUAAGUAAUGGUACUUAGGUACGCCAAUCGAUAGCUCAGUAUGAAAUAAGAAUAACUCUGCAAGCGCACAGAACUAUCAUUGUAGCAUUUCAACCCGUAAAUGGGUGUCGUAUUUGUAAUUCCCGUAGGAAGGCAUUUAUAUCUAGCGUGGUUAUAACAUGAUUACUUAUUAAAAUGCAUGGUAGGCAUAGAGUAAACAGGGGUAAGAUAUGAUAUUUGGAGAUAGUGGACACACAUCUGGGUCAUCCUCAAGGAUAAAAGAUAAAAUAAAGAAUAAAAGAAUAUAACUACUGAGCAGGCAUGGUUCGUAUAUAACUGUGCUAAGAACUGUUAGUAAGUCAUCUAACUAGCAUGUCUUGAGAUAGGAUCAGGUUUGAGAUGAUAGGGAGAUCCCCAUAGCUGGUCUGCAAGCAAAUAGAGACUUUACAUGACUCCUACCGAAUAUCCGAACGUGGGGGAAUAUGAAGGAUGACAGGGCUGUCACCACCCUGCCACCUACCCCUCUGCUUGUGGGAUACCCGCAUAUCCACUGUUCUCCGCAUACCUGAACACCAUGUUCACGUAUUUGGAAACAACUCUUAACCCCCGCGGGCCCCAACACUUCGGAUUGACAGGCUAGGUUAAGAGCAACCAGAACGACCCACUGAACCAUCAUCUCAUCCCUAAUUCUACUUCUAUUCAUAUAAGUUAGAUGAACGAUGAAGAACAGGGAUGAAUAUAUCAAGAACAUAGCACAAGAACUAAGAACUAGUUCAUAUACUAUGAACAUGAUAUAGACAUAACUAUACUCUAGUUCAUAAGCACAAUUGUAUAAAGAUAACAAGAACUUGCUCAUGGAAGAAGACUGAUUAUGAUUCAUACCAAGAGGAUCCUUUCGUCCUAGGAGACAAGCUCUCCUUGGUAGCUCUUGCCUUGCUCUACUACUAGUCUAAUACUAAAGAUACAAGUGAGAGGUGUGUGGAAAUGUAGACUCCAAAUGAUGUGUGUUUUACAAAUGAGGGGGAGCCAACUAUUUAUAGCCCAACGAGGACGGUUCGGGGGAUCUAAAUAUGGUAGUAGGUGAAACCGUCCUAUGCAUGGCGGCAUGCAACCGCUAGAGAAAGGUGGGGCCGGUUUGCCGCCACCAAGGUUGCGCCCGCAACCAGGUGCGCCCGCAACCUGGUGGGCCCCACCUGGCCACCGCCUUCGCGUGCCUUGCUCCCUGCUGGACCUCCUUUGCUGCUUUGGUUACGAUUGGGUCCAGUUCGAUGUUGAAGGUGGGCUUCUUAUUUAUUUUUGAUUGUGCAAUUGUGAAUUCGUCUUUUGUAAAUUGCGCUUUCUUUAUUUUACUGUUUUCUUCCACUUGUCACAUUAUAAAUCCUGCAAAACAAAAUACCAAGGUACAAGUGGAACUAUGUCAAUAGCAAAAGCAUAUGUGAUUUAAAUAAGUUUAUUCCUCUUCUUUUUAGUCUAAGUUGGCAGUACAAAAUCCUCCAUAGUGACUGCCAACAAGACCCCCAAGCUUAACCUUUGCUUGUACCGAUCAAAUAAUUAAGUAUGGUUGUUGAUCAGGAGUUGCUACUAUGCCGAUAUAAUUUAGGAGUGUCAUGCCUAUAACAAAGCAUUCAUUUGCAAUUUAAAUAAGUUGGCAUACUAUCCACUCUUUACCUUAAUUUCCCAUGGGGCUUCUUGGGUGGUUGCAAGAUAGAACAGUUGUAACAGACUCACCAAUCAUUCAUCUUUUGAUAGACUAUCAAUCUGGAGGUUUUUUUACAAGUUUUGCAAAAUAAAUGAGUUCCUCGAAUGAUUCUCUCAAUCGCUCAAUGUGUAUGAAAUCCUUACGAAAGGCAUUAUGUGAUUGCCUUUAAACCUUACCACUAAGGUUGAGAGUGGAGUUUUGGGCAGGUAUAAAGGUGGGCGUACUUACGACACUUGUAUUGCUGAGUCAAAGCCCGGAGCAUGAGGAGAUACAAAUCAUACACCUUGAUUGAGAUGUGCAAGUGUGUGGAGUAUGAGGAAUUGGUGGAAAUCCUAAUUCUAAAUAUUUUUGGUCACUCCUUUGCAUCAUGACUCUCUUUUAUUUGGAGGAUAAAAGAGAGAGGAAGAGGAAAACAUAUGGGCUCUAUCUCUUAAUAAUUUUUUUUCAUGACGGGGACUUUUGAUUUUUUCUUUCUUUCCUGUCUAUGCCUUUUUGGCUUUUCCCUUUGGAUAUUUUUUUCAACUAUAGCCCAUAUGUCUUGAUGAAUGGAAUCAGAGAAAUUUAAAGAGAUGUCAUGAGGACAAAAAGUAAGGAGUGAAUUUGGGGAUGCGGAAAUCUCAGGAUGAGAGUUUGGCAUUUUUAUUUGGUGGAAAGCUAAGGCACAACUCUCAGGAUAAGAGUUGGCAAAAAAUUUUGGUGGAUGGAAGGGUGCAUGUUGUGCGCGACUUCUCAGUGUAAGAGUCGGCUUUAUUUGGUGGGUGUAAGUGAAUCUCAAUCACGGGUGCAUGACCAUAAUCUCACUCUAGGAUCUCAGAGAUUUGACCCGACUCAAAGUUCUACAAGCCGCAUAUGACUAAAGGUUUUAAGAACUGAGUAACAAGUCAUCUGGCCUUGGUAGGUAUUUCAUAAUCAUUGAGGAACCCUUUGUUUUAAAUUUUUGAAAAGAAAACUCUGGAUGUCAAGUUUCUCUUAAGACAAAGUCAUAGCAAAAUCUAUUUGUACCAUAUCAUGUCUCGCAACAGCUUAGAAAAGGAUCAUGCGCAACCCACAAGAUUUCAAGUUUUCAGAAUAGGACAUUUUUAGCCAACAAACUUAAAUCUUGAUGAAGACUAAGUUAUAACUUAGACACUAAAGAAUUAUAGACAGAGCAACUAUUCAUCAUUUCAGCAGAAGAGCAACUAGCAUAUUAAAACACAUAUGAGAGAGGAUUUUAUUUUUAUAUAUAUAAAGAAAAGAGUGCUGAAAAUUAAAUACUAAAAUUGAAGUGCAAGAAAAUAAGAUACAUGUUACCUCUAUGGGGGUUCUCCCCCAAGCUAGCUUAUUGCUGCGGUCCUUGGAAAAGUCCAAUAGACCGUAGCAAUGCCAACUGCUCCUCGUGCCGUCGACGGUUCGCGUCCUCUAAGUCCACGAAGCUCUGCUGGGUCUGCUGAUGCCAUUGGGUGGAAGUCUGGAUGUGGGCAUUCAGCGUUCCCUGGAUCUGUCUUUGCUGGAGCUCCACUCCACCCAUGCGAGUGUUGAGGGAGUCUAGGGUGACUUGAGGGCGAAUAGGAGGUGGCAUGUCUUAUUCAUUUAGGGUGUGCUCCUGAUGUGGUUGCCCAGAUCCUCCUACUUCGUGUGAAUGCUGUCCCUGGAGCCUCCUGCUCCGUACAUCUCCUACCAGCCCGAGCCUCCUGCCUCAUAUGGUGAAGGAACAUACCCCAUACCAUAACCAUACCCAGGGCUGAACCCAGGUGUGGUCAUAGUUGGGGACCAUCCCCUCUCUGGUGCAGCUGGUGCUGGCGUAGGCUGGGUUGGUUGAGCUUGCUGUGCUGCCUCCUCUUGCCUCAUCCUGUGUGAUUCCUUGCGAGAAGCAGAACUCCUACGAGCUUCUUCUUUCUUAACAAGCUCGAAGGUGAGAGAUGGGCAAGUAUAUAAAGUGAGAUCCGGGUUAGGUAACGGAAUCUCGUUUAUAUAUCCCGGAAAAUAAAACACAAAGCCAUUUCUGGAUGCAUUGCGCUUGAUCACAUGGGCUUGUGCCAGAUAAUGCUCAUUAAUCAUGAUGCGAGGAGAGGUAAGGUAAACAAUAGAAUUAGCAGCCUGUGGAUUAACACUAGCAGCAAGACAAGUGAUGAGUGAAGUGCACAAGAUAGGUGUGGCAGUUUUAAAAGAAUGCAGCCAAUGCUUAACAAUUUCAUAAACAGGUGCAACUUUGAUUUUCUUAAGCAUGGCAUAAAGCAUCUUCAACUCAAGAUCCAAAACCAGAUGGGUAUCAUCCCUAGAGAAAAAAGAAGAAGCAAGCCACUUAUGCAAAAGCCUAAGUGUGGGAUGAUGGAUGUUGUUGGCAUUGGGUUGGAAUUUUCCCACAACGUUCUGUCCCGAGAUCAGGUGCCAGAAACUAUGACGAUUAUAACCAGAGAGGGAUAAAUCCAAAUUGAUAGAGCAGUGCGCAUUAAAGCCUAAGUGUGCCACCACAUCUUUCUAGUAAAGGGAGUACUCAACUCCAAAGCAACGGAAAGAAAUACAAUAAUCAACGAUUUGUAGAGUGCCCAAAAAUUGGAUCGUUAGAAGACAUGAUCCAAGCUCAUGAACAGGGGCAACUCGGCUCCAACCAACAUGCUCGAAAACGGUAUUAAAUUCUACAUCCAUACCUAUCUGUUUGAGGAGGACAGGGUCGAACGUCGGCGAGUGCAAGAACACGCGUUCCUUCAGGAGCUCGUACGCCUGCUUCCCCCGAUCACUCUCCAAGUCGAUGAAGGGGGCGUCAGCUUCGUUGAUGGCGUGGCCGGUGAGCGUCUCCCCUUCAUCUUGCGAUGGUUGACCCUCUUGUGCAGGGGCACUCGAGCUGGAUCCCCUACGCGAGCGACGACCUCUCCGGAGUAGCCCGGAAACUCGAUCACCGAUUCCACUCAUGGUGGGUAGCUAGCACUUUGAGCUUGAGCAAGAGGUUGUGCAGAUUUUUCUUGCACAAAAGCUUAUGUGGACAAGAGUGAAGAAUGGUGGAUCAAGUGGAAGAUGGAGGGAGUGAAGAAAAUAUGAAUGUGAGAGGGGUGAGGUUCUCCACCCGGGAUCCUCUCUAUUUAUAGAGCUGAUCGCAGGCGCGGGAGCCCCCUCCACAACGGUCACUAGCCGUUGCCAGAAGGCGGCGGCCAGUAGCCGUUGGGCAGGGUGCGGCCGCAACCAGGUGGGCCCCACUCUGCGUCCCCUUUUGGCAGCGCCCUCCAACGGCUACUCCAAGGGAGUAGUCGGUUGCUGAUGGGUCUGGUUCGAAAACUUGCUCCAGAUCUUGAUUUUCCACAAAUUUAUUCUAAACUUUUUAUUUUUCAAAAAUAAAAUAAAAAUAAGAUUUGAAAAUCUAAAAGCCUCUAAAAACAAGAAAUGAUUUUUAUAAGAUUUUUGGAGAAAUUUUAUUUUAGACUAAAACAAGGAAUUUUGUAAAAUGAGAGAGAUUUAGAAAAUAUAAUAUAUUUAUAUACUUUUAUAAAGAUAAAAACUCUUCUUCUCUUUUUUUUCAAGGAGGAUUAGAAUAUAAUACCUGAGUGGGGGCACCUCCCCCAAGCUUGGAUGAUAGUGCGGGCCUAUCAGAUACAAAUUCUUUCCUUAUAUAUAUAGAAAUAUAUAUAUAUUUUUGAUAAAUACCGAAGACCUUUCGGCAAGGGCACAACGUUUAUAGUCCAUUGGCGAGACUCUUCUUCCUUCAUUGCCCUGUAGCUGCAUGAACAAACUCAGAGGAAGGUUCGGGUUGCCCCGGAAUCUUCCCCGUGUCGUUGACAGGGAUAGAAGCAGCUAUCUGAGCCAUCUGUGUUUCUAUCAUUUUAUUAAAGCUAGCUUGAUUUUUAACAGACGAAGAAAGAGCUUCAAGCUUAGCAUUUAUAUUUUCAAAAACUUUGUCAUUAAAGGACAACUUCUUGGUAAGAUUCUCAUUGAUCUUAGCUUGUCCUAGAACAAGAUCUUUCAAGGAAGGUUGAUUUUGAAAAAGAGUUUGAGAAGUUAUUACCUUGUAGGCGGUGCUAAUUGUACCACCCACUGUUAUCUUGCUAAGGUGGCCUAUACCCGUUGUUGACGAAUGAAGCUUCUUCUUGGGUCUUAGGUCAAUUGUUCCCUGAGUGGCCAUUGUCACCUAGACUUCACACGAUGUGUGUGAGUCUAUGGAUUGGACGGUGUUGGUAUUGAUUAUAGUGUCGUCCAUCUUCUAUAACAGCAAGUCGAUUUUUGCGGCCAACAGCUCUGUCUCCUUAGCGGACUGUGAGCCUCUUUGUGUUUUCCUUCCUUCUCCCCAACUUUGGUUCGCCACCAUCUUCUCGAUGAGGGCGGUAGCUUGGGCAAUGGUGAGAGAAAGGAAGGCACCUCCAGCUACGGCAUCAACGUGCCCCUUUGACAUGGCCGUAAGGCCUUCGUAGAAGUUCUGGAGCACUAGCCAGUCUUCCAUUCCAUGAUGAGGACAGGCUCGAAUGUACUCCUAGAGCCUUUCCCAUGCUUCAAGGAUGGACUCUAGUGAAUACUGUUGGAAGUUCGAGAUCUUCCCCCUUAGAGCACUGGUUUUGCUCAUGGAGAAGAACUUAGCGAGGAAUGCCGCAGAACACUUGUUCCAGGUGUCUACAGCUUCCUUGUUCUGGUAGAACCACUAUUUCGCCUUUCCCGUGAGGGAGAAAGGAAACAGACGGAGCCUGAUGCUGUCUUGUGCGACGUCUUUGAUGACGAUAGUGUCGCACAACUCAAGAAGUGUUGAAGGUGAGCGUUGGCAUCUUCGCUUGGCAAGCCACAGAACUGACUUGCCUGCUGUUGAUAUUUGGUAACACAAUAAGAAAAUGAUCCGCAAGCGCACGGAUAUCGGUGAGCAUUUCACCCGAGAGGUUUUCCAAAGUAUCGUAUUUAUAUUUUUACCACUGGGAGAAAGGGUGCAUCUGACUAACCAAAUCUAUUGCUACUAUCCCUUUAGGCUACAAAGAAUGUCUCUCGAUGUGAGUGAUGUAUAGAGAAGAUUGCAACCGUAGUCUCGUUCUAACCUUGGUAAGGAUGAUCUACUAUUCUAUUGGGGAGGCUCACGGAAUCUAGACAACACAAAGGAUGUUCGACCCGCACCUAUAAACCUACCCGUCCUGCUAACGAGAUGUGGUCUGCAAAAGGUAACUCGGAAAUGUCACGUUCCUCGCUACUACCACGGUCCAGCUAGUCAGGGAAUAUCUAUGAGUACCCUAGCCUAAACACCACAUUUACACCAGCAAUGAUAACUCUAAUACUCAACCGAAAGAGGAUUAAAGUAAACUCAUAAACCAAAGAACAAUAAAACAAGAACUUACUAGAAUUAGAAGUCGAAUUACUGAAGAAUCUUAGAAGCAAGCCUCGGGUUAGGAGACUUGAUCCCGUAGGUACAACUCGGAGUAGACACCGACAGGCCGGCCUUCCUCCGAUCCACACCUCCACUCUAUCUCUCUCAAUCUAGUAGAAACUAGAAGAUCUAUUUCUUCUUUACAUUGGUUGCUAAGCCUAAAAAGAAAUAUUAUUUAGAGAAGAGGUUUUUCUUCGAGGGCACCCCUCAAUCUCUAUAAUAAUUUCUUGUCCUCCUCCAGGGGCCAGGGGCCUUGCUUAUAUAGUCCUCCUCCUCUGUGCGUUUUUGGUUCAGCAGGCGAUGUGGUACUAAACUUUGCACCCUAUCUCAUUAAAAUGCACAUAGGCCUUAAUGGACCAAAAUCUGAUUUGGGCCCAAUUAAUCCCGCAGCUCUUUUAUGUGGAGUCCUUCUUUUAUUAAUAUCUCUUGAUUCCGAACUCCAAAUAUAGCAAAUAAUAUAUGCAUUUCGAUCAGCUCGACGAGAUCUUUGCAGUGGUGGACUCCAUUCUAUGAUUGGUGGAAACACCUGGACGGGCGCCCAAGGGGGGUGGGCGGGCGCCCUGCCCCCGGGCCCGUUUGCCUUCUCGUUCGUUCCCGUGGCUUCUGGAGUCUUCUAGAUGAUAGAAAAUUGCGCGGUGCGUUGAUAUCUCUAUGUAAUCCCGACAUAUGGGCCUUUCUUCCGUAUUUUCUGAUAACCCCCUGCAGAAAUAGACAAACACCAAAACUCAUGGAAUUCUGUCAGAUAAAACCCUAAGUCUAGAUGUUGAUUUCAUUUGGAUCCUUUUCUUUGUUUAUUUGAUAAUUAAAUUUGAUACUUAAGGACCGUCAACAAACUCCCCCAAGCUUACCUCUUGCUCGUCCCUGAGCAAGGAUGAACUCAAGAGUUUCUGCAGUGGUUUCAUUUCUUAAAAGUACACACGCAUUCAAGCAAGAUCUCAUCUCUGAGUUAGAAUAAACUGUUAAGACUUAAAACUUACUCAUUUUACCUUUUACCAUGGGGCUUGUAACCAUCACUUGUGUCUUGAGCAGUUAAAAGAUAGAACGGUCAAGUCAAGCGCCAUGUCUCUUAUUCUUGAUCAGCUAUAGCUCUGGGGUUUUUUUGCAGAUUUUCAAAUAAAACUCAGAGAUUCCUUAUAUGACUCUCUCAGAUCUCUCUUUUGUGGUAUUUAUGGAUCCUUACCAAGGCAGUAAUGGUAUAUGCCUUCUCUCAAAGUAUGUGGUAUUUUUGGUAUGAAGCAUAGUGAUAUUGCCUUCUCUCUCACCCUACUCUAAUAAAGUUCUGAUAUCUGGAGCUCAUAGGUGGGAGACAGCUAAUACAUACUUACAAGACAUUUAUUGCAUAGUCAAACCAUGGAUCUAGAGAAACAAAUCAAUAAGUCAAAUCAAGAUGUGCAUGUGUGGCGAUAAUGAUGUAUGGUGAUGAUGGUGAUAAUGAUGGUGAAAGUCUAAUUCUAUUUUUUAUGCUCUUUUGAGGGGAUACAUACCUUUCUUGUACUUUGAAGCUUUUUAGGGAGAAUGAGAUGCUCUAUAUUUUCUUUUUCUUUCCUCUCAGGUGGGUAUCUUGUACCCCUAAUUCUACUGUCGGACACUUGUCCAUUUUUACCUCUCGUCUCACUUUUUCUUUUCUUCGAGGUUCCGGGCACUUGCCCCUUUUAAUUUCCUCGUAUUAUUAUUAUUUUUUUCUUCUUCUUUUUUUUAGAGCACUCAUCUCCUGAAAUAAUAUAGCAAGUGGUAGUAACCAAGAUAAAUCGAGCAUUUAUUUCACAGAGAAUAACAGGGAUAGGAAAAUAUUUUUGGCUAUUCUCUCCCAGAUUAGGAGUAGAAUAAUUUUGGGUGAAUCUGGAGAUGGAAAUGAGUGGAUAUAUAUGGAUGGUACUUUCGGAGUAGAAGUAGCAUGUAUGAGUGAACGUGCAAGUGAAUCUUGAUUUUAACCACAUGACAAGCUCCUAAGGGUCUACACAGCUUGACCACACUCAAUUCUCAUAAGCAGUAAAAAGUAAAUAUGUGGCUCAAAGUCUAGCAAGUAUGUAUAUAUGGCUGUGGUAGGAUUUUAAACUCUCAUCAUACAGGAACUCAUCAUGUGUUAUUUUAAAGAUUUUUUAAAGAUAAAAUUCUCCAGAAUUCUAGCAUCUCUAGGAACAGAUAAACAGCAGCUCAACCUUCCCAUAUCAUAUCCGUUAACGACUUAGACUUUAGAUCAAGUACUCUUCCCACAAGUUCAGGUUUAGAGCAAAUCUUACUUCAUAACAGUCAUGCCUAAACUUGAGAGAGAUUUCAAUUUUAAGAACUAGUCAUGGCAGAGCAACUAUUCAUCAUUUCCAUGUGAGAGUUUAUCAUGAGGGUUCAUAGCAAACUUUAUUUAUUUAUUUAGCAAACUAAGCAAAGAUAUAUAUAUAUAUAUAUAUAAAAGCACAAAAUCUUUAUUUGGGUUUUCAUGAUUAUGAAUCUUUUAUUAUUUGAGUAAAGUAUAAACGCGAGUAGAAACACUUAGCUGGAUAAAUGGAGGUGCUCUCCCCCAAGCUGGAUUUUGACGUAAUUUCUUCUGAUGUAGCUAGCAGGUGGCGGAGGUGUAUUUGAAUGUCGGUAGCACCCUGACAGCGAUUAGACUGUCCUCCGUCUGCUAGUCUUCUUGAUUCUUAAAUUCUGUAGAGCUCAAAUAGACAACAAAGCUUUGUGGAACUGGUUAAGUGUUAGCAUAAAUAUCUAGCCUUUAUCAUGUUGAGCCUCCUCAAUAAAUAUUACUUAUUUAGCAGGAUUAUGCAUUUAUUAUUUUUAUAUUUUUAUUGUAAGAUGAAAACUUCUUUAUUUUAUUUUUAUGCCACCACAGUGAAUGUACUUAUGGGUUUUAUGCCAUGAGCAUACUCACAUGGGGCUUACUAUUUUUUUAACAUUUUUAUUUUCUUUUCAAGAUAGCAUGAACCUGAUUAACUAAGCAAACUAUAGAAUGGAAAAGGAUAACUACCAAUUUUACCUCUUGGCAAGGCGUUCGAUGUUUUUAAGUCCUCCGAGCGGGAUUCCUUGUGUUUUCGGUUGUCCUGGGAUUCGCUAGGUGGCGUAGUCGGUGAUUUCGGCGGCGCCUCUUCUUUGUGUGUAACUAUCUUCUCUCUUCACACCUAACUCGGUGCUACGGUCUCCUCAGGAUAGUUAUGUUCAAGUGGUAUGUCUUCAGUCCUUAUUACUUCUCCUUCGUAGUCUACCCAUCUGUCCUUGAUGAUUUGCCUCCUCUGGUUGUGGUUGCGUUGUCUUCUUCUUGUCCUGACCUGCUUAGAAUCUUCAAUUAUAUAGUUAAGGUCAGUAAAAUAGCGGCGUACCUUCUCUGAGGGGAAGUACAUGUGGACUUCUCCGGUUCCAAUGUAGAUGAUAACAUUGAUAGUGUUGAGGAACGGUCUUCCAAGGAUGAUGGGUGGAUCGUACUCGUCUUCUCCCAUGUCAAUGAUCUGAAAGUCAUCUGGAGCUAAAUAUAUAUUGGUUGUAGGAGCAUGGUUCCAUGCAGGAGCUGAUAAGUGACUGCGGCCAUUAUGUUGACGUUAGAUCCGGUGUCGUAGAGUGUUUUCUGAAAAGAGUAUUCAUUGAUUGUGCACUCAAUGCUUGGAACACCAGGGUCGUCCUUCUUGAUCAAGAAAGGUGACUUGAGUCGACGAUCUUGACCUCCUUGAGCUGUAGUGACCAUCUUAGCGGACUCGGUCCACAUUUGCUUGUUCUUGUUCCUCCUGUUGGUCCUCUUCCUUGGUUCAUGUCAGGAUUGCUCUGAAGUUUGUCUAGUCUUGUUCUUGAAGGAAAAUCUCCUCCUUGAUGUAGAGACUGAUCUUGGCAGCAUUAGCGUAGAUGACAGCUCUGGUGUUUAGAAAUGGCCUCCCUAAGAUGAUGGGUGCCCUCUCCUCAGUACCAGUCUCUAUCACCGCGAAGUUUGCUGGAGCGUACAAGGUACCAACUCGGACACAGAGGUUCUUCAAUAUUUCCUUUGGGAAACUAAGUGUCUGAUCUCCAUUGUGUUUGUGCUCAUAGAUCCCGGUUCUUCACUUGGUGGAAUCUGGGAGUUGUAAAACUCCUCCAUGUUUUGUUUGAAGUGUACCUAUUCAUAAAGACAAGGCAGAGAUCAAGUGCAUGGGCCCUGUUGGUGGAAAACACCAACAGAACCAAAAGUGUAUUUGUUCUUCUCUAACCUUAAGCAUAGUGAGCAAGACAAAGUUUGAUAGAUAAUAAGAUCAUGAGUGUAGUAUUUAAAACAUUUGUCAGAUCAGAUUGAUCGACCUAAUGGAAAGAUAAUCUUCCCAAAGAUUGAAUGUGUAACAUUUUAGCUUAUAUGCUUAGGAGUGUGGGAUCACGAAGGUAGUACUAAGAACAAGGACUAAACAUGUUGAUUUAAUUGAGUUGGUUAAUCUGGAAAUAUAAAUCAUACAUGUUUGUCUCUUUAUUUAUGUGAAUGCUAGAACCAAGGAGAACUUAUAAAAGUGAUAAUCAAGUACCUUAAGGUGUUACCUUACUUGAAGAGUGACGGUACAGUAUCACCUUGUGGAAGCUUUCCUUUCUUAGCGGUUGUGCAUCGUGUUUGUGGCAUUCUCCAUGAAUCAUCUCUUAUGAGCUACGUCUUCCUUGUGUAAAUUGUUAAACUUCAUUUGUCCCUCUCCUUGUCUCCAAUGUGAGUUUAUCUCAGGACUUCCUAGGUUGAUAUUGGAAGUUCUCCUGCAGGGGUUAGUCCCACAAAAUAUACCAAUAUCUACUCAAGCAGUUUUUAGUUCAGUAACCAAACUAGACUCCAUGUCUAAUCAGAUUAAGGAAGGCUAUUUAACCUAAGCACCACGCUUAAUUUAAAUGCCAUUGGAAGUGUGUCCGGUACUUCCAAACUAACACUUACUAGGAUAAACAAAGGUAGCAUGAUGGCUUUUAUAGAGAUCUACUCAAGUGGAGAUGAAGUAGUGUGAUUAGUAUUUAACAAAUUGAGCAUGUCCCAAAGGUAAGGACAACCAACAUAGCAGCAUGGCAAAGGAUGUUUUAUGUAAAGUACUCCCCCAAGCUUGAAUUUUGCAAAAUUCAAGAUUGGAUGAAUUUAAUUUAAUGUUGCAUGAUGAUUGGUUGGGCAUACCUUGCGCUUGUCAUUCAUCCGAUCUUCUUGCUCCAAUCCUAGAAAGGUUAGUGGCAAGAAUACCCGAAGGAAUAUUUCUACAAUUAUCUUUAUAUGCUCAAUACACAAGGCAAUGUUGCAAAUAAUUAGAAGUUCUUGUUUUAGGACACUAAGCUUGUCCUUGGGGAACCAUCAAUUAACUCAACGAGAUCUGCAAUAUUUAUUAUAGACAUAUGCAUCGACAACCGCCCUUUUAAAGUUUUUAUAAAUAGAAAAGAAGAGGGGGUUGGAGAUCUCAAAUGUGGUAAGGAUGGAGAGACAAAUUGAUUGGAGAGAUGUUUUAUAUGAGCAAGGACUGGGUGAGGUAUUUAUGAAAUAACUUCCAUGUUCACUGUUGUUUCUCUCAUUCUCAAACUCCAAGGAUGAUUCUUCGUGAAUGUUUAAAAUUCCUCUAGGAUUGUCUCUCAAGUUUGUUUUAUCUAUCCAUUCAAUGGUGAUAGCACAUGGAUUUUUAAUGCCCUCUAGCCAUUGAUGUUGCUCUUCUCGAUCCUCCUUGUAGUCUUGGUGACUCUUAUGAGUGGGAUGUCUAGAUAGAUUUAUAGGAUCAUCGGGAGGUUCAAGAGAAAGAGCAUAGGAGAAAUUAUUAGGCUCAAGGAUGGGUUGGAUAGCCGAAUUAUGGGAUUGAAAUGUUUGGAAAUCGGCUAUUGAAACUUCCUCUCCUUGUAUGGGAGAUGAUUCCUUCUCUACCUCGAAGAUUUUUCUAUGAAGACUAGUACAAGAAGGAUGUCCACGAAUGAAGACAUACCUUCCUUUACUAAGAGAUAAAGAAAGAAGGACUCUACCAAAGGUUAUAUGAUUAAGACCAAUGUGAAAAUAUUUAGGAAAAACAUGGUCUUGUCGGGCUAGGUCUAAACCAAAAUUUAUAGAAAGAUUAAAAGAUUCCCUAGGUGUAGCUAAAAGUGCAUUAUCUUCUUGAUUAAAAGAUAGGACCUCGGCUAUAGAAAAGGGUUGGUUUUGACCUAUUGCAAUCAACUCCGGACACAGAUCAUAAUUAAAGGCAGGACGUGUUGACUCCCAUGGUCUAUGGCUGGUCUCCGAAGGUGCAAAGAAUUUAAUAAUAGGUAUGGAAUUUGAGUUAUCCAUAAAAAUAAAAAGAUAAAAGAAUAAAAGUAUAAAAGUAUAAUACAAGAUAAUAGCAAGACUCAAAGUUAUCUCAGCAAACCGUCUUUCUCCCCGGCAACGGCGCCAGAAAUGCUUGUUGAUAUUUGGUAACGCAAUAAGGAAAUGAUCCGCAAGCACACGGAUAUCGGUGAGCAUUUCACCCGGGAGGUUUUCCAGAGUAUCGUAUUUAUAUUUUUACCACUGGGAGAAAGGGUGCAUCUAACUAACCAAAUCUAUUGUUACUAUCCCUUUAGGCUACAAAGAAUGUCUCUCGAUGUGAGUGAUGUAUAGAGAAGAUUGCAACCGUAGUCUCGUUCUAACCUUGGUAAGGAUGAUCUCCUGUUCUAUUGGGGAGGCUCACGGAAUCUAGACAACACAAAAGAUGUUCGACCCGCACCUAUAAACCUACCCGUCCUGCUAACGAGAUGUGGUCUGCAAAGGUAACUCGGAAAUGUCACGUUCCUCGCUACUACCACGGUCAAGCUAGUCAGGGGAUAUCUAUGAGUACCCUAGCCUAAACACCACGUUUACGCCAGCAAUGAUUACUCUAAUACUCAACCGGAAGAGGAUUAAAGUAAACUCAUAAACCAAAGAACAAUAAAAUAAGAACUUACUAGAAUUAGAAGUCGAAUUACUGAAGAAUCUUAGAAGCAAGCCUCGGGUUAGGAGACUUGAUCCCGUAGGUACAACUCGGAGUAGACACCGACAGGCCGGCCUUCCUCCGAUCCACACCUCCACUCUAUCUCUCUCAAUCUAGUAGAAACUAGAAGAUCUAUUUCUUCUUUACAUUGGUUGCUAAGCCUAAAAAGAAAUAUUAUUUAGAGAAGAGGUUUUUCUUCGAGGGCACCCCUCAAUCUCUAUAAUAAUUUCUUGUCCUCCUCCAGGGGCCAGGGGCCUUGCUUAUAUAGUCCUCCUCCUCUGUGCGUUUUUGGUUCAGCAGGCGAUGUGGUACUAAACUUUGCACCCUAUCUCAUUAAAAUGCACAUAGGCCUUAAUGGACCAAAAUCUGAUUUGGGCCCAAUUAAUCCCGCAGCUCUUUUAUGUGGAGUCCUUUUAUUAAUAUCUCUUGAUUCCGAACUCCAAAUAUAGCAAAUAAUAUAUGCAUUUCGAUCAGCUUGACGAGAUCUUUGCAAUGGUGGACUCCAUUCUGUGAUUGGUGGAAACACCUGGGAGGGCGCCCAGGGGGGUGGGCGGGCGCCCUGCCCCCGGGCCCGUUUGCCUUCUCGUUCGUUCCCGUGGCUUCUGGAGUCUUCUAGAUGAUAGAAAAUUGCGCGGUGCGUUGAUAUCUCUAUGUAAUCCCGACAUGUAGGCCAUUCUUCCGUAUUUCUUGAUAACCCCCUGCAGAAAUAGACAAACAACAAAACUCAUAGAAUUCUGUCAGAUAAAACCCUAAGUCUAGAUGUUGAUUUCAUUUGGAUCCUUUUCUUUGUUUAUUUGAUAAUUAAAUUUGAUACUUAAGGACCGUCAACACCUGCACCAUCGAGAUGAGGCCAAUACAGAUCUCGAAGUUGCCAUUCCCAACAUUAAUAGCGGGCCCAACGGGCAUGUUGGCAACAGCAAGAGUGGAGUAGUCACGGAGAGUCUUGGCCAUCGCGAAAAAUACGAUUGGUGCAGGGGUGAUUGGUUUGUCUGCCGGUGACGUAGCAGAGGAUGAAGUGAUGAAUGCCUUUUUCUUCCGUACUAGUUUCUCUGGAUUGCUGAGGAAGUUGUCCGGUAGGUCAAAACUAGUCAUACACUAUCCUAUUUUAUUCCAAUAAAAAUACGGAAGAAAACAGCAAAGUUAGUCUAUUUAAACUAUGACUACGCAUGCUUAUUAUGCAAUCAAUGUUAUUUCCAGCAAGAUGUUAAAUGCCUUCCCCGCAAACGCACCAGAAAUGCUUGUUGGCGUUUCUUAGCGAAACCACUAAGGAUAGAGUUUAAGUCCAUCCCUAAUGAUAACACUAUAAACGUUCUUGGCAUAUCCUAACCACCAUCACAUCAGAAUGAUAACCCAAGGCUCUUUACGGCGCGGGCCUAGGCAGUGCAGUCUGGUACUGAUGAUUAGUAAUGCCAGAUUGGCCUUCCUAACCAUCCUUACGAUAUGCAAAGCUGUGGCCCGGCGCCGGGUGAGUGCACAAGGAUUACAAUCUUAAGUAAAGGUACUUAGGUACGCCAAUCGAUAGCUCAAUAUGAAAUAAGAAUAACUUUGCAAGCGCACAGAACUAUCAUUGUAGCAUUUCAACCCGUAAAUGGGUGUCGUAUUUGUAAUUCCCGUAGGAAGGCAUUUAUAUCUAGCAUGGUUAUAACAUGAUUACUUAUUAAAAUGCAUGGUAGGCAUAGAGUAAACAGGGGUAAGAUAUGAUAUUUGGAGAUAGUGGACACACAUCUGGGUCAUCCUCAAGGAUAAAAGAUAAAACAAAGAAUAAAAGAAUAUAACUACUGAGCAGGCAUGGUUCGUAUAUAACUCUGCUAAGAACUGUUAGUAAGUCAUCUAACUAGCAUGUCUAGAGAUAGGAUCAGGUUUGAGAUGAUAGGGAGAUCCCCAUAGCUGGUCUGCCAACAAAUAGAGACGUUACAUGACUCCUACCGAAUAUCCGAACGUGGGGGAAUACGAAGGAUGACAGGGCUGUCACCACUGUUGACGAUCCUUAAGUAUCAAAUUUAAUUAUCAAAUAAACAAAGAAAAGGAUCCAAAUGAAAACAACAUCUAGACUUAGGGUUUUAUUUGACAGAAUUCCACUAGUUUUGGUGUUUGUCUAUUUCUGCAGGGGGUUAUCAGGAAAUACGGAAGAAAGGCCCACACGUCGGGAUUACAUAGAGAUAUCAACGUGCCGUGCAAUUAUCUUACAUCUAGAAGACUCCAGAAGCCACGGGAAGGAAGCGGAGGCCGAACGGGGCCUGGCCCUGGGCGCCCGCCCAGGUGACCAGGGCGCCCGCCCCCUCUUGGAGACCAAACAGGACUCUCUCUCGGGGUCAAUCUCCACCGACCUAUAGGAUCAAGGAUAACCGUUCAAUCAAUGUCGGUUUGAUCCAACGGCCCAUAUUCACUUGAAGGGACUAUAAAACCAGAUCCCCUGGCCCCUGGAGGAGAGAGCCUCUCAACCCUAAUUCAUUAUUCUUCAAGGGAGAAGAAGCUUCUGAUCAAGCCUAGAGCCACCACAUCAAUUAGACAUCUAGAUUAGCAUAGCUACAUAGGAUUAGAACUAGAAGGAGUCAAUCUUCGAUUGGUUUCUGGAUCUGUCAAGAGGAUUCUUGGUAAUUCUCUAAUUGUUUAUCUUGUUCUUCAAUAUUAUGAAUAUGACUUUGUUCUACUUCAAUAUAUUGCUUAUGACUUUGCUCAACUUGUUUAUAUUCAAGAUUAUAUUGUUCUUAGUCUAUCAUAGUUAUAUACUUGGCUUAGUUAGAUUGGAUCUAUAUACAUGUUUAGGAUCGUAUAGCGUUUAUCCAUCGGAUCCAUGGGUAAAUGAUAGAUAUUGUGUAGACAUGGUGCUUAUACCGUAUUUAUCUGCGAUUGUACCCAAUAUGCCAGAUUGUGGGGUAGUUCGUGAUAGUGACAGCUUCAUUGAUUCUUAUAUAGUCCCCCUCUCGUGUAUUGGGCUGGCAGAGCAACAUUAUUACAGGGGAGUGAUUGCUAUGUUUCUCAUUUAUGUGGCAGAACCUCCUAAGUGUUUGGGCCCACCGACACCUGUCAUUGUCCUAAGGACCUCUGACGGUGAUGUCGGGGAUCCUCCCACUCUAGAAGUCCGAUGAGCAUCUCAGGACGCUCAUUCCACCGCUACCUGUGGCGUAUCAAGCAAGCUCGUUCUGACCACUAGUGAUGGUCAAUUAACGAGAACUUCUUCUUCUCGCCCUUACAGGAUAGCAAGUGGCCACCUUAACACCAGGAUCACUCGUUGCGAAGACAUUGUAGUAUUACAAACGACAUAAGACCAAAAUAAUAUUUCAGAGUAAAGCAGCGGAAGUAUUACAUAACUUAAUUUACAAAAUUAGUUCUUCCAAAUAGUAGAGUGUUAUUACAAGCCAGGUCCAGCGGAGCAACUUAAACUUUAGUACACAGAUUACAAUUUUACAAACCCUGCCCAUGGGUCACGCUCACUCUUCCUCGUCGUCAACCUCGACGACGGUCACACAAUAGGAUCCGAAACAUGUCGGCUCCUGAGCUUCACCUGCAACAGGGGUCAUAAAACCCUGAGUACGGGAGUACUCAACAAGACUUACCCGGCGGAAAAAGAGGAGAAAUUAGGGAUGCAGGCUUGGGGUAGACAAGGAGUGGCUGAGCAAGGAGCCAAGUUGUUUUGCUAAAAAGCUUACUAAUAGUGCAUCCUUACUUUCAAGUUUUACCCGCGAAUUCCUCUCCUUAAGAGGCCGAGGAGUUCGAGGACAGUCUAUCUAGUUGCUUCUCACAGACAAGUCUGUAAGUUCCUAGUCCUUAAUUUAAGUAUUACCUAUCCAACGGCCAUAGCUUCAUGUCACUCUAAGUCCGGGAAUUGGGAUCCGAACCUCAUGAGACAUUCCCCCCUUUCUCAUUUUUUCACUUAGUUGCAUAUUUAUCUACGAUGAGGGUCAGUGGAUUGAGUCUCCCAAUCGGGAAGCAACGACGAUUCGAACCGCUUAGCAAUCCAGCUGGAGUUCCUAACCACCCGACAUAUGUAGAACCAAAUCUUGCAUAUGUCAACCCAAAUCAAGCUAUCCCCAAAUUUGACUAGGUUCGCGGCACCCGAGAGCACAGUACUCCACCAUCCUACAGCCGAUCUAGAUGUUUUCCGGUCAUCUCAGAUCCGUAAGGUGGGUACACGCUACUCUCGCCAUCGCUCCACGCCUAGUGCGCGAGUAGCUGUUCGCGUCGAGGGAUCACAAGACCGGGCUUACCGAGGGCAAGUGGCUAGUACUAUAAAUUCUCAACCCAGCGGGCCAUCAACGGACCGGUCCUUAACCAACACAGUUGGAGACACUACUUUAAGACUCCAUUCUUAAAGCAAGUCCACCGACCGGUCUCAAAUUGAAACAUCAUUGAUCAUAAGUGUAUUCCACAACAACCCUUCAAACUUUGUUUGAAAGCCUAUCUAGUAGCAGGGCUAAGCAUAACUACGCAAAUUUUAAAAUAAAACAGGUGCCAAGGACAAGAUAACAAAUAUCAAGGUAGUAAAUGUAGCAAGUAGGAUAACCCAAUUCUCAACUACUUAAUGCAGCAUUUUCCAUUCAUAAGUGAUAAAAGAUUUCAAACAUUCAAGGAGGGGUUAAUGCAUCCGGGGCUUGCCUUGGUUGCAGAGCUGAUAGGGACCCUCGGAGACUUCCCAAGUCUCGGAUCCUACUUCCUCGAACGGAGCACCGACCUCGGGGUUCGGUUCAACGGUCGCUCCUUCGGUCACGGGCACUAUACGAAAAUGAUGGAUGCUCAUGAUAUGCGUAUGACAAAUAUUUAAGGAGGACCGAGUUAAGUACAACUGGCCUUCUCGGUGCAACACAGACUAAACAAAAAUUAAAGUUGUUACCAUUUUAAUGUUUUUACCCAAGAGGUUGCAUCAGUAAAUUAAGAUUUCUCUUAAUUCAUAAUUAUCCUUAAUUAACUAAUUAUUAAUCCUUUUUAUCUUAAUUAAUUCUUAAUUAAGUACUGAUGACGCUAAUUAAACAUUAAUGCCAAACAAUCAUUAAAUGCCAAAGGUCAUUAAGGUUAAUGACCUCAGGUCAUCACACAAUCCCAAAAUCACUCAAACCCUAAUUUUGAGAAUUUAAACUAAUUAUUAUCUAAUUAUUCUAGAAUUAUUAUUUAAUUACUAAUUAAGGGUAUAAUAAUAUUUUAUUCAAACAGUAUCCAAAUGCCACCAAAUUUUGUGUGAAGCCUGGGAAUAAUAUUCAGAGGCUUCUCACAAUUUUUGGUGAUUUUUGGAUAUACCCAUAAAUUAUGAAAAUUCAUGGAAGUUUUAUUUGCUAAUUAAAAGAGGCAAUUUUUAUAUACAUGCAAACUACCAGAAAAUAGAAUCCAAUAUUUUUGCUAGGUUCUACUCAUUUUAUGGAACCUAUACAGAAAUUUCCAUGAUUUUUGAAUCAGUAUACAAUUUACUACACAAAAUCAAACAUAACACAAAUUUUGCACAAAAGGAAAAAGGAAAAAGCACUAUGCUGCGAGCGGCCCAGGAACUCGACCCGCAGGCCGGCCCGUUCUCGCUCGGCCCACGCGCGCGCUGCGCGCGUUGCUCUUCUCCUCUCUCUGCAGGUCGCUGAUGGGCGGGUCCCGCCCGUCAGACCUUUCUUCCUCCUCUCGCCGCGGCUCCGGCGAGCUCAAGCAUGCCGUCGGCGAGCUCCCGGCCUCCGCGAUAAGGCAGGCCAGCACCCUCAGCCCCCUACGCAUCUCUUGCGGUGCUCGGACCACGUGCUAGCCCCCUCAAUCCCCCUUGCUCGCGUCCACGGCGGACGGCGGCACUAACCGCGCGAGCACCGGCCACUACAAGCAAGUAACGUGCGAACCAAAGAGCGCAUAAGCAUAAGUGGCUCACCGCGACUUCAACGAAGCAAAGAGCGGCGGUGGAGAAGCUUGGAGAAGAGCUGGCCGCGGUGAGGUGUUCACAGCGACGUUUCGGCCGGGAUUGGAGAAGAAUGGCUCGGGUUGGAGCUACGACAGGGUAGAGCUUGCGCUCGGGGGCGCAAACGGUGGCUAAGAUCUUGGCGAAGCUGUUGGUGUGCUUGGGUGGUUUGGAAGGGAAGCAGGCGAGGUGAAUUUGGCAGGCGCAGCAAGCUCGUCGGCGUCGGGGUUUCGAGAAGAAGAAGUGUUUCCACGGCGGCUCGGGGUUUUAUCCCCGCAACGCAGUGCUUGCUGCGGAUGAGGACGCCAGGGCGACGCCCAGCAGGCAAGCAGCUGCGUGGCCAGGCGCGUGGCGGCGCUGGACGCAGCAGCUCUGCCCCGGCGGCAGAGCAUCCCCCCUGCUCGAGCACUGUAGCGAGCCCUAUCCAAACAUUUUGUUGUUUUGCAAAAUUCGCCCAAAUUUUGAACUAAAGUCCAAAAUCUAUUAAAAUGAAAGUUGUUUACAAUUUUACAAGCUACAAAACAUGUUUUGGUGACCAAAGAUAAUUCUGAGUGGAAAAGGGUGAAUUUGACAAAACAGUUUGGAAUUCAAAUCUCAAUUUAGGGAAAUUCAAAAUUUUGAAUUGGGGCAGAUCAGAAUUUCCAAAAUUACUUUUGAUUUUUCAACACAACUUGAAAAAUUCCCAACAUGAAAGUUGUUCAAAUUUUUGAGCUCUACAACUUUCAUGUUGGUCACUUUUCAAAAUUCCACAUAGAUUUUGAAUUGGAGAUUCAAAUUGGAAAAGGGGACACUUUUUGGAAAUCUGUAUGUUCAAAAUUACAUUGAAUUUUCUAUUGAAACUUCAAAAACUCGAAACACCAAAGUUGUACAUCUUGACAAGAUCUACAACUUUGCUUUUGAACUCAACCUGAAAUUUCGCUUAGUUUCUAAAUUACACAAAAGGGGGCAAAACAAGGUUUUUAAAAUCAGGGUUUCCCCCCCAUUUUCUCGGAAAUCUUUCACCCUAGGAAUUAUACAACCAACACAAGCAUCACUUCACAACAUAAGCACACUUUAGUUCCCUAAGCACAUUCAACCAAAUUAGACUUAUUUUAAGUUAAUGCAUCAGGAUGUGCUUAACAAAUAUGCUAUGCAAUGCUUAUGAUGACAUGAUCCAAUUUUAGUAACCGUAACAUCAGGGAUGUUACAGCCCUUCCCCCUUAAAGAAAUCUCGUCCCCGAGAUUUAAAACCUUAGGGUAUGUAAUGGAAAAGGAAAUUUGUCAAACUAUUUCAUCUUCAACCUUUUCAUAAGACAAGAAGCUGGGGAAGACUACUUAAGCAUAAACACAUAUGUACAUUAAGUACAUGGCUUUGGCUACCCUUUUCCUUCACUAAAGUACACUUCCUAUUUAUUGGAUGUUGUCUUGAAGAGAAGCAUGGAACUCAGGAAAAUUCUCCAUUAGAUAAUCUUCAGAUUCCCAUGUGGCUUCCUCUUCAGAGUGCUAGCUCCAUUGCACCUUGUACCACUUGGUAGUUGUUCUUCGAGUAACUCUAUCUCUUUGGUCCAAUACUCGGAUAGGGUAUUCCGCAUAAGUCAGAUCUGGUUCAAGUUCCACAUCUUCGAUAUCUUGAACUUGGUCUGGUACCCGAAGACACUUUUUUAGUUGAGAGACAUGAAAUACAUUGUGUAUCCCGGUUAAUCGUUCGGGCAGUUUAAGGCGGUAAGCUACCUGUCCACAUCGGUCAAUGAUUGGAAAUGGACCAAUGUAACGAGGCGCUAACUUGCCUUUAACGCCAAAACGAUUUACUCCUUUCAUUGGGGAUACUUUCAGAUACACAUGGUCACCUUUGGCGAAUCUUAAGGGUCGACGUCUUUUAUCGGCAUAGCUUUUCUGUCGGGACUGAGCAAUUUUCAAGUUGUUUUGGAUUUUUCUAACUUUGUUCUCAGUUUCUUUCACUAAGUCAACCCCAAAGAACCACCUUUCUCCAGGUUCCGACCAAUGUAGUGGAGUUCGACAUCGAUGGCGAUAUAGUGCCUCAAAGGGAGCCAUCUUAAUACUUUCUUGGUAGCUAUUGUUGUAGGAAAACUCUGCUAGAGGCAAGCAGUCAUCCCACUUGUCUGGAAAAUUCAGGGCACAAGAUCUUAAUAGAUCUUCUAGGGUUUGAUUCACCCUCUCUGUUUGCCCACCUGUUUGAGGGUGGUAGGCGGUACUGUACAAAAGCUUGGUGCCCAAAGAUUCAUGUAAGCAUUUCCAGAACUGGAAGACAAAUUGUGUGCCUCUAUCUGACACUAUUGUCUUUGGCACUCCAUGCAGACUUAGUAUACGAUCAAAAUAGAUCUGAGCAUAGGUGGAAGUAUGGUACGAUGUUUUUACAGGUAAGAAGUGUGCUGUUUUGGUGAGACGAUCCACAAUGACCCAAAUAGAAUCAAAGCCUUUGGCCGUCUUGGGCAAUCCUACUAUGAAAUCCAUACUAAUAUCAUCCCAUUUCCAUGCUGGAAUAGGCAAAGGUUGCAACUCUCCAGCGGAUUUGAGAUGAAUAGCUUUGACCUUUCGACAGGUGUCACAUUGGGCCACAUAGCGGGCUAUUUCUAUCUUCAUUUUCGUCCACCAAAACCUUUGCUUUAGGUCCUGAUACAUUUUAUUGCUCCCCGGAUGAAUAGAAUAUCUCGUAGUAUGAGCUUCAUCCAGGAUUUGCUGACGUAGCUCAGGUACCUUUGGAACCACUAACCGGUUUUUGAACCAGAUUACUCUUGUAUCGUCCACCUUAAAGUCUGUGGGUGCUCUGUUAGAAAUUUUCUCUUUAAGAUAUUUCAUGCCUUUAUCUCCUUUUUGUGCCUCUAUGAUUUGAGCUUCAAGAUUGAAAUCAAUCUUUAAAUUGGCAAGGCUUCCCUGGGAAAUCAUUUCUAUUCCCAAGUUUUCUAGCUCUUGGCACAAAGUUAUAUCUUUAGGCGUCACUGUUAAGCAAUUACAGUGAGCCUUACGACUGAGGGCAUCAGCUACUACAUUCGCCUUGCCAGGGUGAUAAUGCACCUCAAGGUCGUAAUCUUUGAUCAAUUCUAGCCACCUUCGCUGGCGCAUAUUAAGUUCAGCUUGAGUAAAGAUGUACUUCAAGCUCUUGUGAUCUGUGUAUGGGUGACAAGUGUUCCCCAACAGAUAAUGGCGCCAGAUCUUCAGUGCAUGUACUACGGCGGCUAGUCCAAGAUCAUGGGUCGGGUAAUUCUGUUCAUGUGGUUUAAGCUGCCUGGAAGCAUACGCAAUUACUCGACCCUCCUGCAUUAGUGCACAGCCUAUCCCUAUCCCUGAUGCGUCACAAUACACAUCAAAGGGUUUUUCAAUAUCUGGCUGGGCUAAGACAUGUGCAGUUGUCAAUAACCUUUUCAGAGUCUGGAAGGCUUGCUCACAUUUAGGUGACCAAACAAAUUUUGUUUGAUUCUUGAGCAAGGUCGUGAUUGGUUUAGCGACUCUUGAAAAGUCCGGGAUAAAGCGACGGUAAUAUCCCGCCAUACCCAAAAAACUACGGACCUCAUGUACCGUAGUCGGGGGCUUCCAAUUCAACACAUCUUCUACUUUACCUUGGUCUACAGCGACUCCCUCCGCUGAUAAUACAUGACCCAGGAAAUGGACUUUGUCUAGCCAGAACUCACAUUUGCUGAACUUGGCAUAUAGUUGAUGCUCCCUAAGACGGGUCAGCACAAUUCUCAGAUGUUCAGCGCGUUCUUUCUUAGUCUUGGAGUAGAUCAAAAUGUCAUCAAUGAAGGCGACCACGAAUUUGUCCAGUUCUGGCAUGAAGACAGAGUUCAUCAAGUACAUGAAAUGGGCCGGUGCAUUGGUCAACCCAAACGACAACACCAGGUAUUCAUACAGCUCAUAACAGGUGGUAAAAGUCGUCUUGGGUACAUCUUCCGGCCUAAUUUUAAUUUGGUGGUACCCUCAUCUCAAAUCAAUUUUUGAGAAUACUUUGGCCCCGGCUAACUGGUCAAAUAGCAAGUCAAUACGGUGCAAUGGGUACUUGUUUUUAAACGUCACCUCAUUCAGGGGAUGAUAAUCGACACACAGCCUUAAUGUUUGAUCUUUCUUUUUCACAAAUAAGGCUGGGCAACCCCAUGGACUGGAACUAGGCUGAAUAAAACCUUUGUGCAACAACUCUUGUAGUUGGGUUUUCAAUUCGGCCAGUUCUUUUGGUGCCAUUCGCUAGGCCCUUCGAGAUAUUGGGAUUGUCCUUGGUUUCAAUUCUAUACUGAACUGGACAUCCCGGUCCAGUGGCAGACCUGGUAGGUCUUCAGGAAAUACAUCCGGAAAAUCCCGAACUACCAGGAUAUUUUUGACUACAGACACAUUAGUGGCAUGAACUUGCCCAAUUGCCCGUUUGGGAGUAACUAAUUGGAUUAGAAGGUAAGAAUUCUCAUUGGGCAAUGGUAUUUUAAUGGUUCGAUGCAAGGUAUCUAGCACAACCCCUCGUUGUGCCAUCCAUUUCAUGCCUAGUAUGACAUCAAUCUCCUGAUCUUUAAGAACAAUCAUGCUAGUGGGAAAACUAUGCCCACCAAAUUCGAUGGGUAUCUGAUGAACCAUUUCUUUAGAACUCAGCCGUCCUCCUAGCGACUGUAUAUAAAAAUGAUCUUUUGUUUCCCCAAUGGGUAUGCCAUGCUUCACCACAAAGGUGCGGUUGAUGAAUGUAUGAGAUGCACCACAAUCGAAAAGCAUUAAAGCAGGAUGUUUCGCAACAGGAAACGUACCCAUCAUUACUGGUUCUCCCUCCGGUAUCAUCUCCACCUCUGUAUGGAAGACUUGUCCCACUUUCUUUGCUGGUUUACCCCUUCGCACAUUUUGUCCUUUCUGAGCCCCAAUUUUGAAUUGGCUCGGCUGGGGUUGGCCUAUGGGUGGCCUUUGGAAAGUGGGGUUGGUUUGGCGGGGGUAGGGGCAUUCUUUAGAAAAAUGCCCAGGCUUACCUCAAUUGAAACAAGGAUAAUUGUGGUUGGGCGGAGCAGUGGGGCGAACACCUGGGGCGUUCGGCUGGCAUGGUGCAGUGGCGAUGGCAGUAGGUCGAGGAUAUACCUACUGCCCUGGUCUAUAUUGUGAAGGGGGGAAGGGACCACGAGAAGGUGACGGCACUGGGAAGCGUCCGUGGCCCUGUGGGUGAUACAUGAUCCUCUGGCGCUUUUGACCGCGACCAGAGAAGGAGGAAGAAGCGGCCUUCUUCUUGGCUUCUUUGUGUUUUCUAUUCUUUUCUUCCGAGGCGAUGGCAAUAUUUACCGCCUUGUAGAAAGUAGCAUUUUGACAUGUGGUCAUCAUGGUCUGAAGUUUGGUAUUGAGACCACGCAUGAAACAAGCCUUCUUCUUUUUAUCUGUGUUCACAUGGUCCGUGGCAUAUUGAGAAAGAUGAUUAAAUUUUGCCACGUACUCCAUCACACUCUUAUCGCCUUGCUGCAAGGCGAGAAAUUCUUCGGCCUUCAUGGCCAUAAGCCCUUCUGGAAUAUAAUGGGCGCGGAACACGUCCUUAAAUUCUGCCCAAGUGACCUGGUGUCCUGGAUCUUGGAUAGCUAGGAAGUUCUCCCACCAGGCCCCCGCAGCUCCCCGAAGCUGUUGGGCUGCGAACAAGGGCUUUUGAGUUUGCGAACAUCGGAUCAGACUGAACUUGUGCUCCAUUGUCCGGAGCCAGUCGUCAGCUUCUAAAGGCUCAUCAGCCUUGGUGAAUACUGGGGGUCUUGUCUCGGUAAAGUCCACUUACCGAGUUUCUCCCUCCCCAUUGUGCUGUGCUCUGAUGUUUGGGGCGGGGUGUGAUUGGCGUUGUGCUAACUCACGCAACAAGCGAGCAUUGUCGGUAGUGGCACUCAAAAGAACAGCAAUGGCAUCUGCCAGGGAAGGUGGAGCAGGUGGAGGGUUGGGGAUAUCAUCCCCUCCCUGAGAUGACCCAGCUCCAUCAGAUCCACGAGUGCGCAUCGGCAUCUACUACAAGAAUCAUAUGUACUUGUUACCACAUGGAAUCCAUAACUUAAAACAUAUCUUACAUACUUCCAUUUAUUUAUCAAACAUCAGUUCAGCACACUGGAAAUAAAUGAGUACAACUUUAAAGAAAAACACUAUACUACAAACCCGACCCCACUACCGUAGACUCUAGGAAUCCUACAACGACGUUGCCCGCAACUUCACCGAACUAGUCGGUGUGGUCAGAGCCGUAGCCCGGGUCGUCAUUGUCAUCGCCUUGAUUACCCCCCGGGUUAUUGUCGUCGGAGUCGGAUUCCUCCUCGUCACUGAGGUCUUGGUCGGGCUCCCCAUCAUCCGCCAACUCUCCGUCAGUGUCCAUCUCCCCUUCACCUGGAGGUGGAUGGAGCUGAUGGUAUAAAUCAAAUGCAAUAUCACGGUACUGCAUCGCCAAGUCGUUGACGGUGUCCAGAUGAUGUGCCAGCUCAAGCUUCUCUAGCUGUAGCUGGUCCUCCCGCUGCCACGUGACAUCCCUCUGCACGGUGACAGUGGCUGCCAUCUUCAUGUACAGAUCUUUAAGGUACUUGGUUUUGUCCAGCUUAGCCUUCAUUCUGGUCAGCUCGUGCAUGUGCGCGCUCCUGGCCUCCUCUUCUCGGGCAAUAGCGGCAUUCCUUUCUUCCACCAUACGGGACAGCAUCGCCUCGCAGUUCUCGGUGGCUUGUUUUUGUUUUGUUAGCAGAGCUUUAAGUUCACCGAUCUCCAUGACAUUAUACAUCCUUUCUCUCGUCACUUCGGUCAGCUCGGCGGAUAACUUUUCCAUCUCCUGCUCAGAUGGGGGACGGCUACUGCUUGCUUGAUCGCUUCGCGGGGCCAACUGGUGUCUAGGCACCCCUUUAGGACCUCUUGCGCGGAGUCUGCUUCCAACGACCCAUCCUGUAGAGGGUAAGUUUGGAUUAGUAAAGGAGACCUUAAAGGUUAGCAAGAAUGGGAUUGAUUCUAUACAACCCAACCCAAAUAAAGAGGAAGGAAUUUAACCAAGUGAUAUAUCAUGAUGCAUGCACGUACUUACGAUUCCUACUAGCAAUUCAUAACGAUAUUACCUAAAACUUUACAACAUAGGGCAAUACUUUAUGUUGCUCUUCCACACAACUUCAAAAAUUCUAACAAAGCCUACAGACAAGGGUAAGAUAGGACUAAAGCACUUGGACUCAAAAUAGGCAAGUUUAUAGUAUCGGAUCCAAAUGGUUUUGAAGUUUUUCAAGGGAUACAGCAGUCAUCUUAGCAACGAAUGCUCUGAUACCAGCUGUGGCAGAACCUCCUAAGUGUUUGGGCCCACCGACACCUGUCAUUGUCCUAAGGACCUCUGACGGUGAUGCCGGGGAUCCUCCCACUCUAGAAGUCCGAUGAGCAUCUCAGGACGCUCAUUCCACCGCUACCUGUGGCGUAUCAAGCAAGCUCGUUCUGACCACUAGUGAUGGUCAAUUAAUGAGAACUUCUUCUUCUCGCCCUUACAGGAUAGCAAGUGGCCACCUUAACACCAGGAUCACUCGUUGCGAAGACAUUGUAGUAUUACAAACGACAUAAGACCAAAAUAAUAUUUCAGAGUAAAGCAGCGGAAGUAUUACAUAACUUAAUUUACAAAAUUAGUUCUUCCAAAUAGUAGAGUGUUAUUACAAGCCAGGUCCAGCGGAGCAACUUAAACUUUAGUACACAGAUUACAAUUUUACAAACCCUGCCCAUGGGUCACGCUCACUCUUCCUCGUCGUCAACCUCGACGACGGUCACACAAUAGGAUCCGAAACAUGUCGGCUCCUGAGCUUCACCUGCAACAGGGGUCAUAAAACCCUGAGUACGGGAGUACUCAACAAGACUUACCCGGCGGAAAAAGAGGAGAAAUUAGGGAUGCAGGCUUGGGGUAGACAAGGAGUGGCUGAGCAAGGAGCCAAGUUGUUUUGCUAAAAAGCUUACUAAUAGUGCAUCCUUACUUUCAAGUUUUACCCGCGAAUUCCUCUCCUUAAGAGGCCGAGGAGUUCGAGGACAGUCUAUCUAGUUGCUUCUCACAGACAAGUCUGUAAGUUCCUAGUCCUUAAUUUAAGUAUUACCUAUCCAACGGCCAUAGCUUCAUGUCACUCUAAGUCCGGGAAUUGGGAUCCGAACCUCAUGAGACAUUCCCCCCUUUCUCAUUUUUUCACUUAGUUGCAUAUUUAUCUACGAUGAGGGUCACUGGAUUGAGUCUCCCAAUCGGAGAGCAACGACGAUUCGAACCGCUUAGCAAUCCAGCUGGAGUUCCUAACCACCCGACAUAUGUAGAACCAAAUCUUGCAUAUGUCAACCCAAAUCAAGCUCUCCCCAAAUUUGACUAGGUUUGCGGCACCUGAGAGCACAGUACUCCACCAUCCUACAGCCGAUCUAGAUGUUUUCCGGUCAUCUCAGAUCCGUAAGGUGGGUACACGCUACUCUCGCCAUCGCUCCACGCCCGGUGCGCAGGUAGCUGUUCGCGUCGAGGGAUCACAAGACCGGGCUUACCGAGGGCAAGUGGCUAGUACUAUAAAUUCUCAACCCAGCGGGCCAUCAACGGACCGGUCCUUAACCGACACAGUUGGAGACACUACUUUAAGACUCCAUUUGACUCCAUUCUUAAAGCAAGUCCACCGACCGGUCUCAAAUUGAAACAUCAUUGAUCAUAAGUGUAUUCCACAACAACCCUUCAAACUUUGUCUGAAAGCCUAUCUAGUAGCUGGGCUAAGCAUCACUACGCAAAUUUUAAAAUAAAACAGGUGCCAAGGACAAGAUAACAAAUAUCAAGGUAGUAAAUGCAGCAAGUAGGUUAACCCAAUUCUCAACUACUUAAUGCAGCAUUUUCCAUUCAUAAGUGAUAAAAGAUUUCAAACAUUCAAGGAGGGGUUAAUGCAUCCGGGGCUUGCCUUGGUUGCAGAGCUGAUAGGGACCCUCGGAGACUUCCCAAGUCUCGGAUCCUACUUCCUCGAACGGAGCACCGACCUCGGGGUUCGGUUCAACGGUCGCUUCUUCGGUCACGGGCACUAUACGCAAAAUGAUGGAUGCUCAUGAUAUGCGUAUGACAAAUAUUUAAGGAGGACCGAGUUAAGUACAACUGGCCUUCUCGGUGCAACACAGACUAAACAAAAAUUAAAGUUGUUACCAUUUUAAUGUUUUUACCCAAGAGGUUGCAUCAGUAAAUUAAGAUUUCUCUUAAUUCAUAAUUAUCCUUAAUUAACUAAUUAUUAAUCCUUUUUAUCUUAAUUAAUUCUUAAUUAAGUAUAAAUGACAGUAAUUAAACAUUAAUGCCAAACAAUCAUUAAAUGCCAAAGGUCAUUAAGGUUAAUGACCUCAGGUCAUCACACAAUCCCAAAAUCACUCAAACCCUAAUUUUGAGAAUUUAAACUAAUUAUUAUCUAAUUAUUCUAGAAUUAUUAUUUAAUUACUAAUUAAGGGUAUAAUAAUAUUUUAUUCAAACAGUAUCCAAAUGCCACCAAAUUUUGUGUGAAUCCUGGGAAUAAUAUUUAGAGGCUUCUCACAAUUUUUGGUGAUUUUUGGAGAUACCCAUAAAUUAUGAAAAUUCAUGGAAGUUUUAUUUGCUAAUUAAAAGAGGCAAUUUUUAUAUACAUGCAAACUACCGGAAAAUAGAAUCCAAUAUUUUUGCUAGGUUCUACUCAUUUUAUGGAACCUAUACAGAAAUUUCCAUGAUUUUUGAAUCAGUAUACAAUUUACUACACAAAAUCAAACAUAACACAAAUUUUGCACAAAAGGAAAAAGGAAAAAGCACUAUGCUGCGAGCGGCCCAGGAACUCGGCCCGCAGGCCGGCCCGUUCUCGCUCGGCCCACGCGCGCGCUGCGCGCGUUGCUCCUCUCCUCUCUGCGGGUCGCUGACGGGCGGGUCCCGCCCGUCAGACCUUUCUUCCUCCUCUCGCCGCGGCUCCGGCGAGCCCAAGCAUGUCGUCGGCGAGCUCCCGCCCUCCGCGAUAAGGCAGGCCAGCACCCUCAGCCCCCUACGCAUCUCUUGCGGUGCUCGGACCACGCGCUACCCCCCUCAAUCCCCCUUGCUCGCGUCCACGGCGGACGGCGGCACUAACCGCGCGAGCACCGACCACUGCAAGCAAGUAACGUGCGAACCAAAGAGCGCAUAAGCAUAAGUGGCUCACCGCGACUUCAACGAAGCAAAGAGCGGCGGUGGAGAAGCUUGGAGAAGAGCUGGCCGCGGUGAGGUGUCCACGGCGGCGUUUCGGCCGGGACUGGAGAAGAAUGGCUCGGGUUGGAGCUACGACAGGGUAGAGCUUGCGCUCGGGGGGCGCAAACGGUGGCUAAGAUCUUGGCGAAGCUGUUGCUGUGCUCGGGUGGUUCGGAAGGGAAGCAGGCGAGGUGAAUUUGGCAGGCGCAGCAAGCUCGUCGGCGUCGGGGUUCCGAGAAGAAGAAGUGUUUCCACGACGGCUCGGGGUUUUAUCCCCGCAACGCAGUGCUUGCUGCGGAUGAGGACGCCACGGCGAUGCCCAGCAGGCAAGCAGCUGCGUGGCCAGGCGCGUGGCGGCGCUGGACACAGCAGCUCUGCCCCGGCGGCAGAGCAUCCCCCCUACUCGAGCACUGUAGCGAGCCCUAUCUAAACAUUUUGUUGUUUUGGAAAAUUCGCCCAAAUUUUGAACUAAAGUCCAAAAUCUGUUAAAAUGAAAGUUGUUCAGAAUUUCACAAGCUACAAAACAUGUUUUGGUGACCAAAGCUAAUUCUGAGUGGAAAAGGGUGAAUUUGACAAAACAGUUUGAAAUUCAAAUCUCAGUUUAGGGAAAUUCAAAAUUUUGAAUUGGGGCAGAUCAGAAUUUCCAAAAUUACUUUUGAUUUUUCAACACAACUUGAAAAAUUCCCAACAUGAAAGUUGUUCAACUUUUUGAGCUCUACAACUUUCAUGUUGGUCACUUUUCAAAAUUCCACAUAGAUUUUGAAUUGGAGAUUCAAAUUGGAAAAGGGGACACUUUCUCGAAAUCUGUAUUUUCAAAAUUACUUUGAAUUUUGUAUUGAAACUUCAAAAACUCAAAACAAGGUUUCUAAAUUUGCUUAGUUUCUAAAUUACACCCUAGGAAUUUUGCUUAGUUUCUAAAUUACACAAAAGGGGGCAAAACAAGGUUUUUAAAAUCAGGGUUCCCCCCCCCAUUUUCUCGGAAAUCUUUCACCCUAGGAAUUAUACAACCAACACAAGCAUCACUUCACAACAUAAGCACACUUUAAUUCCCUAAGCACAUUCAACCAAAUUAGACUUAUUUUAAGUUAAUGCAUCAGGAUGUGCUUAACAAAUAUGCUAUGCAAUGCUUAUGAUGACAUGAUCCAAUUUUAGUAACCGUAACAUCAGGGAUGUUACAAAUUACCUUGCUAAUAUCACUAUGCAUGGGCGUAGUCUUGUCUCACAAUGAUUGCUAAGUAUGCUUGCACUAACUAUGAUAAUGCUAGACUAUAUAGUUGAGAAUAACUUAGGAAAUAUUCUUGUAGUUCGUUCUAAUUCCAUGCGAAUGACUUUCUAGAAUAUCUAAUUGAGGUGCUUAUCAUAUUUAUAUGUGGCUAAGUUAUGCUGAUCAGAUUAAUUAUCUUUGUCACUAUUCAUUACUUUAUAUAUCCUUUAUGUGACACUUACCCCUGUAUGAAAGAGUUAGAUAAAUGUUCUUAAUUAUAGAUACUCAAUCUCAUAUUCCAUUCUAUAAUCAACAUUGAUGGUUGCUAAUCCCUUCCUAGUGGUAAAAAUAUAAAUAAUGAUACCUGGAAUACUUCCAGGUUAAAAUGCUACAUCGGUAUUAAUCUGUGCGCUUGCAGAUCCCAUUCAUUAUUUAUUUAGAAGAGCAAUAGCAUAUUUCAAUACCGCGUCUCUCAUGUCAUGCUGGGGAUGACAACUUGGCUUAAGUGGUAUGAGGGAUAGGUUUGGCAUUUUUGGCACCGUUAUCAGAAUUAGAAAACUAAGUCUACUUUUGGUAAUCAUGUUAAGAAUACCCAACAACCACCCUGCCACAUACCCCUCUGCCCGUGGGAUACCUGCAUAUCCACUGUUCUCUGCGUACCUGAACACCAUGUUCACGUAUUUGGAAACAACUCUUAACCCCCACGGCCCCAACCCUUCGGAUUGACAGGCUAGGUUAAGAGCAACCGGAAUGGCCCAGUGAACCAUCAUCUCAUCCCUAAUUCUACUUCUAUUCAUAUAAGUUAGAUGAACGAUGAAGAAUAAGGAUGAAUAUAUCAAGAACAUAGCACGAGAACUAAGAACUAGUUCAUAUACUAUGAACAUGAUAUAGACAUAACUAUACUCUAGUUCAUAAGCACAAUUGUAUAGAUAACAAGAACUUGCUCAUGGAAGAAGACUGAUUAUGAUUCAUACCAAGAGGAUCCUUUCUUCAUAGGAGACAAGCUCUCCUUGGUAGCUCUUGCCUUGCUCUACUACUAGUCUAAUACUAAAGAUACAAGUGAGAGGUGUGAGGAAAUGUAGACUCCAAAUGAUGUGUGUUUUACAAAUGAGGGGGAGCCAUCUAUUUAUAGCCCAACGAGGACGGUUCGGGGGAUCUAAAUAUGGUAGUAGAUGAAACCGUCCUAUGCAUGGCGGCAUGCAACCGCCAGAGAAAGGUGGGGCCAGUUUGCCACCACCAAGGUUGCGCCCGCAACCAGGUGCGCCCGCAACCUGGUGGGCCCCACCUAGCCACCGCCUUCGCGAGGCUUGCUCCCUGCUGGACCUCCUUUCCUGCUUUGGUUAUGAUUGGGUCCAGUUCGAUGUUGAAGGUGGGCUUCUUGUUUAUUUUUGAUUGCGCAAUUGUGAAUUCGUCUUUUGUAAAUUGCGCUUUCUUUAUUUUAUUGUUUUCUUCCACUUGUCACAUUAUAAAUCCUACAAAACAAAAUACCAUGGUACAAGUGGAACUAUGUCAAUAGCAAAAGCAUAUGCAAUUUAAAUAUGUUUAUUCCUUUUCUUUUUAGUCUAAGUUGGCAGUAUAAAAUCCUCCAUAGUGACUGCCAACAAGACCCCCAAGCUUAACCUUUGCUCGUCCCGAGCAAAUAAUUAAGUAUGGUUGUUGAUCAAGAGUUGCUACUAUAAUUCAGGAGUGUCAUGCCUAUAACAAAGCAUUCAUUCGCAAUUUAAAUAAGUUGGCAUACUAUACACUCUUUGUCACAGAACCGACCAAAUUAUAAGAGUUCAAGUGUAGAAACGAUCAACUACUAAUCAAGUUUCCAAACUUGAGCUCAUAUAAUCCCGGUAGUCAACUGAAAUCAUGAAGGACUUCAAACCAACUUGCAACAAACCAAGAUCGUAAUAGUUCAACAUAACAUAGCGAAUGUUACAUAGUCAUUCAUUGCCGUCGAAGCGGCACCACAUCGGAGUUACUUAGUUAUUACAACACAUGUUUGUAGUAGCGGAAGCAAAAUAGUUUACAACUCACAUUCCAAAGUUCAUUUCACAAGUUCUUGUUUCAGCCAGAGUCUCAUGCCACCCAUCAAAAGCAACAGAGACGAAGUAGUUAGAGAACCGUGCCCAACGGUUUAGUCUUCAUCCCCAGCGGGAUGGAGACAGGUCUUGCAGAAGCCAUCAUAAAAGAUAUCAUCUGCAACAGGUGGGAAUAAACCUUGAGUACGAGGAUGUACUCAGCUAGACUUACCCGUCUAGUAAAACAUAAAAGACACCAAGGAUCAUGCAAGUUUUAGCAUAAAGUGUAGCUGGCUUGACUCAACAAUUGCUAAAAGCUUAAGUGAUUACUUUACAACUGGUAUUAGCAUCAUAUUAAUCAUCAUUAGCCUAUCACUAGAUUAGCACCUGGACUGAAACACAUCACUUGAUUAUUACAAGCAAUAAUAACCAUAUCAAGUUCAUCAUAUGUUCUUCCUUGCUAUCAUCAACAACAUUAUCAAGAACCAUUGAACUUAGUGAAUGCUACGUUUGUCGUUGCUCUAUCAAGUUCUCACUAUCCGGGAGAGACGGCGAUUCAAAUCGAUUCCUAUCCAGCUAGAGGGUUAUUCCUAGCACUCACCCAAGCUUCCCCCGUAGGAGAGCCAGCGGGUCACCUUUGGUACGACUCAGGAAUCGCGGCUCCGAUCAGCGCCGCACUCCCAGGGCCACCAUUCUGCCAGGGAGGUCAGGAAUUUUAACUCACCUACCUUUGGUCUUACGCCAAUGGUCCCCCGCACACCGCACUUCCUCCGGUAGUGCGCACUUUAUACUUGUCGGUCUUCCGGCCUGAGUCAUACUACUAGGCUUCGUGGUCGGAACGAGUUAUCCGGCCAACUAAGUGUUAGGCAUGCGUUCAACAUGACAAGAGGACGUACAAUGAUCGAUCCUUAGCUGCCACAGACGGAGUUACUACAUCCUUGCAAAACUCUGCCUGGCUUAAGUCAUUUUAAUUAGGUUCCUUCCACGAUAGCUCAUAUAGACAAUCGUGAUCCGACACAACCCUAUCUCGCGCAGGUGACAGGAUAUCACCCGACUUCUACCGAUUAAAGCAUGACUAAGCUGCUACUCGAUCCUAACUCUAUAACUAGGUAGUGGUAAGAUAUCUCGACAAGGAAUGAGUAAAAUGCAGCAAGGGUUUUAUCACAACUCCUAUACGUAAUGCAUCAAUAGAUAUAACAUAAUCAAGUAAUCUUUCGAAAAUAAAGGGGGAGACUUAAGAUGCUUCGGGGCUUGCCUUUCACGAACGAUGCAGGCUCAUGGUUCGGGCACUCAAUCUCCUCUUCGGGCUCCUCGUGUCCGGCUUGCUGGACCUCCACCUCCGGGUUGAUCUCUUGGCCCUCGGGGUUCACUUGGAGCUCGAACGCGGCGGUCGUUUCCGGUGCACCUAUUGCAUGCACGAUGAGUACGAAUAUGUGCAUCCUAAAAGGAUGAAUGCUUGAUAACAUAAUUAGACUCACUGGACACUCAUUUACGGAGUAACGGUCACAACAAGUUCAUACAAGAUAACUAACUAACUUAGCAAGACUUAGCAAGUCAAACCAUAAACAGCAAUCCUUACAUAACAGAGCAGCUCAAGAAAUAAAUCAUAACUGGAGCUAUACAGAUCCAACAAAUAUGAAUGAGGACAUUCUGGAAAGCUUAUGAAAUUUUAUACAUUUAAUAUUUAGACAUUAUAGCAAGAUUCAUAAGUUAAACAAGUCAUUUAAACAAAGUUCCAGGUUCUGUCCCAGAAAAACAGAGAACACCUAUUUCUGGAACCUAACUUGGAAGAGAUAUAACUUUUAAACUAUUGGACGAAAUAAUCCCAAAAUUAAACCACAGCUAGCUCAUAAAGUUUACAACAACUUUGAUUUAGACAAGUCCUCCAGCAAAUCAAGUUAUCAUCAAGCAAAGGUUAGAUUACUCCCUUGCUGUCCAAGACAGCUAUAAACCUUCAAUUAAUUAUUUAAUGACAUAGCCAAAACAUAUUCAGUGCCAACCAAAUGGCUUACAAGCACAAACAUAUCAUAAAAUGACCAGAACAUCAUAUGUUAACCCUUAAACAUUUAAUAUCAUGGCACUUAUUAAUUUAAUUCAAUAAACAGACAUAAUUACAAGAUACCAGCAAAAGUACUCAGAAAAAUCUAUAAAAAUUACCGAAGUACAAACAUAGCAUCUGGACAUUACCCAAAAUUUUUAGAGCAAUUGCACAUGCCAAACUUAAGAUAAGUAUUUAACAUGUAUCAAGGCUCUUAUUUCAUAAAUCAAGAUACAUGGCUUAGAUAGUGUCAAACAACAGAUUUCAGAUUAUUUACAUGUUACUAUUAUCAUAAACAAGCUUGACACUAAAAGUAGAGCACCAGCAUAAGCACCAAACUUUUAUUAUGAUGUAAAUAAGAAAACAUGUCAUAUCACGAACAUAAAUUACAUAUCACAGAUACAGUACUCCAAAAAUCAUGAAAUAUUUAUCAUAGCAUUCUAAUAACACUCAAAGACUGCCAUAAAAACUUCAUAGCAUAAGGAGCAGUAUAUCAAGAGAUAUGAAUUUAUACAUAAAUAACAAGAUUAAAUCAUAACAAUUAUUUUUCCCAGAAAAUAUGGUACAUGUUAUAUUUUUAUUAAAAACUAGCCAUCUCAAGAAACACCACAAAAUUGGUUUCAUAAUUUUUGGAUCUCAGAAACUGAAGAUAUGAUUUUUGCAAGAAUGCCAAAAAUCUGAAUUUGAAUAAAAGAGAGGAGGGGACCGUUGAGUCACUGACAGCGGGACCCGCGCGUCAGCGACCCAGAGAACAGGGGACACCUUCGCCGGCGAAUGCUCGCCGACGGUGAGCUUCUCCGGCGGAUCCAAGGGCACCAACGUGCUCCUGGAGUGAUUCCGCAUCGAUGGAGGUAGGUGACACUAGGCUUACAACGACGGAGAGGGGUCGCCGUCGGCCAUGGCGGCACGGCGGAGCUACCCCGGCUUGCGCCGGCCAUCUCCGACCGGUAGAGCGUCGGGGAAGGGCGGCUUAAGCACCAGUGAGUUAGCGUGGAGCUUUCUAGGUAGAAACGCCUAACCCUAAUGGCUCCGGUGAGCCUGCUCACAUGCGAUGUGCUUGUCGGCGGUGAGCACGGCGGUGCGGCGGCCGUGUUCCCGCACGACGGUGGUGCCAUAGCCGGAAUGGCGUGACGUUCACCGACACCGAGGCCUAAGCAGACCUUAACGCAACUCAGAGGGAAGAAAGGAGGCAUGAACGAAGCAGCGGCGAGGUUCGCUGGAAUCGGGGUCGCGACGGCCGUGAACCCGACGACGACGAACUUGCGAAAUGCGGCUCACCUCGGGGAGAUCUGGUCUAGCCAAGGGGUGGAAAAGAUGGAGGAGCUCGAGGCGGACUUGGAGACGCUCGGAGGCGAGGCAAGACGCAGAGGCGAGGGCGCGGGGAGCUUGCGAAGCUCUCGGCGGCAAUGGCGAUGGCGCUUUCGCCGACGGAGUCGUGAGAGAGAGAGAGGAAGGAAGAGAGUGGACGAGCGCUGGGUGAGUGCGGGGCGUCGUGGCGUCCAUGCCGACGUCGUCGACCUGACGAGCGGGGCCAACGCCGGUGUACGGGUGCCAAAUGGCAGCCAGGUGUCGCGCUGGGCGACCACGACGGCGAGCUCGGCUCCGAUUCAGACCAAACGAAGACCGACUGACAGAGCUACUUUGACAGAGAUUUUCUCCCAAACCAAGGCAAAUUAGGAGAUGGUGUAGUUGACAAAGUUGAAGUACUAGCUGAGUUCUACAACAUUGUCAACUGAUCAAGAGUCAGAUUGGCCGGGAUUGAGAGAUAUGAAGCUCCCAAAAUCGAUCGAGCAAACUGGUGGCGCUAGGACUUGGCCAAAAUCGGUUAAGUGCCAAAACAGCCCCCAAAACUGCCUUGCAAGCACUUUUUGAGCAAGAUGUGAUCAUUUUCAUGAGAUGGCCAUAAAAUAAAUUUUGUUCCUUAUCAAAUUUGCUACAACUUUGCUGUAGAAAGUUUUAAUAUGCAAACAAUUUAUGAAACACUUUUUAAAAGCCUAAGCAAAAGAGGUUUCUAGGGCUUAUACAUGGAAGUAUGACUUAAGCACAUAAUUUGGAGAAGUGACCAACAUGAACAUUGCUCCUAAGGUUGAGUUAAGCAUAGAUAAACUAAUUACCAAGGCUUAACACACAAGCAUGAGCAUGGCACAAACAAACAGAAGCAUAGGAAGCAUAAUAAAACAAAUUAAAUCACAGUUUUGCAUAAAAUGACAUGACCUAAGGUAAAUGAUGAUCAUGAUAUGCUUGAGUAGAUGAUGAUGCUCAUGUUAUGCAUGUGAUUGAUGCAACCAUAACACUGGGGUGUAACAGCCCUCCCCCGUUACAAAAAUCUCGUCCCGAGGUUUGGAAGCUUACUGAUUUUUGAACAAUGUAUUAUAAACUUCUUUUAAAUAGUCCUCCGUCUCCCAAGUGGCAUCUUCCUCCCCGUGGUCACUCCACAACACUUUGUAGAAGUUAACCACACGAUUACGAGUCACCCGUUCCUUGCGGUCGACAAUCGCUACCGGUUUCUCUUUAUACACCAAGUCAGAUUUCAACUUGAUAUCCCAAACUUCCACUCGUUCCUCCGGAACACGAAGGCAUUUCUUCAAUUGUGAUACGUGAAAGACAGGAAAAAUAGCUCGAAGCUCAACUGGUAGUUGAACUUUGUAUGCCACGUUCCCUUUUCUCUCGAGAAUCUGAUAAGGCCCCACGUAACGAGGUGCAAGCUUUCGCUUGACUCCAAACCUUUGUACACCUUUCAUCGGAGACACCUUGAUAUACACAUGGUCACCGACUGCAAACUCAAUCGACUUCCUUUUCUUAUCAGCAUAACUUUUCUGACGAGCUUGAGCAGCUUCCAGAUGUUGCUGGAUGGUACGGACUUGCUGGUCCGCUUCGUUCAUGAAAUCGAUGCCAUAAUACCUUCGCUCCCCGGGUUCCACCCAAUUCAACGGGGUUCGACAUUUUCGACCAUACAGGGCUUCAAAUGGAGCCAUCUUGAUGCUCUCUUGGUAACUAUUCUUAUAAGAGAACUCAGCUAACGGCAACCACUUUACCCAAGAACCCUUUGAAGAGAGAGCACAUGCUCUCAGCAUGUCUUCUAGGAUUUGGUUAACACGUUCAGUUUGGCCGGACGUUUGAGGAUGAUAUGCCGAACUACGAACCAAGUGAGUACCAACCUGCUCAUGAAGACACUCCCAAAAACGGGCAGUGAACAGUGGCCCAUGAUCUGAUAUGAUAGUUCGAGGCACACCAUACUGACGAACAAUGUGCUUGAAGUACAAUUCCGCAUACUGAUGUGGACGAUCGUCAGUUCGAACUGGAAUAAAACGAGCAACCUUGGUCAAACGAUCUAUAAUUACCCAGAUAGAGUCGAAACCCUUAACAGAAGUUGGGAGUCCAACGAUGAAAUCCAUGCUAACUUCUUCCCAUUUCCAACCAGGAAUUGACAAGGGUUGAAGUAAGCCUGCUUUCAUGUGAACGGCCUUCACACGACAACAGUUGUCACAACGAGCGACAAAAGCAGCAAUCUCCUUUUUCAUCUUUAUCCACCAAAACAGAGGUUUCAGAUCCAAAUACAUCUUGCUACUACCAGGAUGGAUAGACAACUUGGAUGAAUGAGCUUUGUUGAUAUUUGGUAACGCAAUAAGGAGAAAGGGUGCAUCUGACUAACCAAAUCUAUUGCUACUAUCCCUUUAGGCACAAAGAAUGUCUUUCGAUGUGAGUGAUAAAUAGAGAAGACUGCAACCGUAGUCUCCUUCUAACCUUGGUAAGGAUGAUCUACUGUUCUAAUGGGGAGGCUAACGGAAUCUAGACACCACAAAGGAUGUUCGACCCACACCUAUAAACCCUAUCCUUCCUGCUAACGAGAUGUGAUCUACAAAGGUAGCUCGGAAAUGUCACGUUCCUCACUACUACCACGGUCCAGCUAGUCAGGGAAUAUCUAUGAGUACCCCAGCCUAAACACCACAUUUACGCCAGCAAUGAUUACUCUAAACUCUACGCGAAGAGAUUAAAGUAAACUCAUAAACCAUAAGAACAAUAAAACAAGAACUUACUAGAAUUUAGAAGUCGAAUUACUGAAGAAUCCUAGGAGCAAGCUUCGGGUUAGGAGAACUUGAUCCCGCAGGUACAAGCUUGGAGUAGACACCGACAGGCCGGGCUUCCUCCACUCUUCACCUCCACUCUAUCUCUCUCAAUCUAGUAGAAACUAGAAGAUCUAUUUCUACCUUACAUUGAUUGCUAAGCCUAAAAAGAAAUAUUAAUUAGAGAAGAGGUUUUCCUUCGAGGGCACCCCUCAGUCUCUAUGAUAAUUUCUUCAUGUCUUCCAGGGGCCAGGGGGCCUCGCUUAUAUAGUCCUCCCCUUCUAUGUGUUUUUGGGUCGAUAGCCGAGGUGGUGCUAUGUUUUUCUUGAUCCAAUAGGUCGGUGGAAUAUCCCGAGCGAAGGAGUCCUGAUUUGGCUCCAGCAGGAGGGCGGGCGCCCAGGCUUCCAGGGCGGGCGCCCUGGGCCUGGCCCAGCUUCGCCUCCGCUUCGGUCUCGUGGCUUCUGGAGUCUUCUAGAUGAUGUAAAAUUGCGCGGUGCGUUGAUAUCUCUAUGUAAUCCCGACAUGUGGGCCUUUCUUCCUUAUUUCCUGAUAACCCCCUGCAGAAAUAGGUAAACAACAAAACUCGUGGAAUUCUGUCAGAUCAAACCCUAAUUCUAGGUGAUGUUUGCAUAUUGGUCCUUUCUCUUGUUUAUUUGAUAAUUAAAAUUGAUACUUAAGAACCGUCAACAAAUACCCCCAUACUUAGGCUUUUACUCGUCCUCGAGAAAAGGAUGGUUAAGAACAAUAUCUGGGGUAAAUAUUUAAAACAUUCUCUUUAUAAUUGCAGGGUGUUAAAAUUCCACUGUGUACCAUAGUCAGGAAGUAUAUGGUUAAGAGUAAAGAUCCUUUCUUCUCAAUCCUGUCACUUGGAGUUUUUUUUUUAUAAUUUUGAAAGAAAGUUAGCAUACCUUUUGAUCCUCAUAGGUUUUCUCAGAUCACUCAUUAUCUUUUAUAUAUAUAUCUCACUGAGGCUGUUUUAUUUGGCAAAAAUUCUCAAGCAUACUUACUUUGGAUUUAUUGCCUGAUCAAAACGGGAUCCGAGGAGGGAAAUGUCAUACUCUUAGAUCAAAGACUUUGAAAAUUAAAAUCUUUGUCAACUCUUGCUGGCAUAUUGCUUAUUAGAGGGACCAUGGGCUAUCAUUUUUUUUCUCUUUUCUUUUUUUUUAAGUGGGUACCGAGGUACCCCUAAUUCUACUGCCGGACACUUGUCCAUUUUUUUCUGCGAGGUUAUCGAGCACUUGCUCCUUUUUAUUUCCUCAAAAUAUUUCUAUUUUUGCAUAGCCCAUGCCUCUAAUGCAAUAAUACUUCGGAAGAGUGAAUCUUUCUGAAAUAAUGUCUUGAUCUUGGGAGCAUGAUAAAUCUCUCAACAAGGGUCUAACUCAUUUUGAACAAACUCAAUACAGAGCAGAUAGCUUUUAUAAUCAUAAUUAAUAUUUUCAGUUUUAUCAGGCAUAUAAAACACUGAGGAUGGUAGCUAGAAAUUUGAAUAUUUUGAAAUAAAUUCUCCAAGCAACAAUGAUAUCAAGAAUAAGAAACUCAUACUCUAUCAUCACAUAUUCUAUAUUGACUUAAGUAACACAGGGUUUUAAAAUGAUUUUAUACUAAUUGCAAGUUUUCAGGAAAUAUCACAGAUUGAGAUUAAUCAUGAUUAGAAAUAUUUUAAUCCUUUUAAUUUAUUAUGUCGGAAACAGUAAUCUGCAUAAUCCAAAAUAGUUGUAUGUGUAAAGUAAAGUGUGCAGAGUGUGUACCUGAAUCGUGGAGUGGUGUAGUCGGAGUGUGUUUGUCAUGUUGAGGGAUUUCCCCCAUACUUGUUUUCUGCUUUCUUGCACAAAAAUAAAGUAGAGACACACAAAACAUAAUAAUAGUAAUGAUAAUAAUACUCUUUAUUGAUCUUGAGGCAUUUAUUACACAAGGAAGAACAAAAUUAUUUUUGGCUAUUCUCUCCCGGAUUAGGAGUAGAAUAUUUUUGGGUGAUUCUGAAGACGGAAAUGUAUGGAUAUAUGUGGAUGGUACUUCCGGAGUAGAAGUAGCAUGUGUGAGUGAACGUGCAAGUGAAUCUUGAUUUAACCACAUGACAAGCUCCUAAGGGUCUACACAGCUUGACCACACUCAAUGCUCAUAAGCAGUAAAAAGUAAAUGUGUGGCUCGAAGUCUAGCAAGCAUGUAUAUAUGGCUGUGGUAGGAAUUUAAACUCUCAUCAUAUAGGAACUCAUCAUGCAACAUUUUAAAGAUUUCCAAAGAUAAAAUUCUCCAGAAUUCUAGCAUCUCUAGAAACAGAUUAACAGCAGCUCAACCUUCCCAUAUCGUAUCCGUUAACAACUUAGAUUUC
rnacentral:lncRNA from 1 species